UAGACUGACGACGCGCCGCUUGUUGUGACAGAUGUAGUUGGCUGCUGUUAGUCGCUGACUCUGCUUAUGUAUCUGCAAGUAGUGGUAGGAGUGGUCGUAUGUGUGCCAACGCUUCGUUGGCUAGUUGGUUGUCAGAACUGAAGUUGCUAAUCUAUCUGAAUGUUACUGUUUCAAGUAGUACUUUUGCUGAAUUUCAUGGGAAACGCUGAAUGCUUGCUGUCGCCUCGUUGGUAGUAAGAACUGAAUUCUGUGGUGCAAACCGAGAUUCAGAAAUAGUGAUGCAUUUCUUAACCAACCUCUGGCAAGUUUGUGCUUUCAUUUCGUAACAAUGCAAGUCUGUUUGCAGAUUCUUGAUCCUCCAUUAUGUUCUAUUUCUGCAUUAGGUCCAGAGCCUAGUCUUGUUCAUAUCUACUCCUUAAGCUUCGAUUAAGAAGUCCAAAUACAAGCGAGGGAUGCAGAUGAAGGAACUGGACAGACAGGGUGUAGUAGGGAGAAUCAUGUAAACCACUGGGUGGCAGACAUCACAAGAAGAACUCGUACAUAUUAAUACAAUUAUCUGAUGACAGGCUUUGAUAAAUCGGCCACAACAAUUGGAUGGUGUUGCAGAGAGUUUCAGGGGUAGAAGCUACACAUGAACUCUUAUCAAUAAACCCCCCGAAUAAUAUACAGAUCAUAUACAACCUAAGACCAAUCAAAUAGUUUGUCAGGUUUUGGUAAUUGUUGAAUCAAGCACCAAACGCCGCUGCACCCAUUCGCUCGCACAGCAAGCUUAAAAAAAAUAUGAGACCAACCCAAGGGCUAAUCCUUGUUGGCUUUUCUUUAUAGCAGAGAAAAGCCGUGAGCACCGCGUGUCACCGGGACUCGAACUCGGGUGGGCUGGCAGCAACCUCAGCUGCCCAGCCAACGGGUCGACGCCCCGUCCUUGCUCGCACAGCAAGCUUACCAACUAGUCAUUGUCGCCAAGGACGUUGUGACGCUUCUGAUUCUGUUAAACAUACUAGAGUUAGCAUGAAAGGCAAAGGGGGAUAAAGCUGACUGCACUUUUGGUGGAUAUUUUGUAGAUGCCUAGCCAUUUGUUGCACUGUAAGAAUCACAAAUGCAGAGAACUUUGCACCUCAGAUCAUAUCGGGUUUUAAUGAAGCUAGCCUAAACCCACUACUGGAAGCAAAGUAAAUUUCCUUAUGUGCAGUGACUCUACUGGCAUUUUGGUUUGUUUGCCUGUGUGGGUGUUGAUUUGCUUCAGAAGUGAGAUAAGCCUUUCUUCAGACACCUACAGACCAGCAAAUGCAAUGUUUUUAGAGUAUGAUAGGAUUGAACAUUCUGUAGACUUUUCAAAUUGUCGCAAAGUAAAAGAACUUCCUCACUAGUAGCCCCAAGGGCCGGUUUAAUCAUCAUGUUAAGCCGAGACUUUAAAUAUCAGGAUUCAACUUUGCAUGUGUAGUCCCUAAGGGCCGAUUUAAACUUGUCAAGUUAAAACGGGACUUACAUUAUUGAUAACUCAACAUUUCAAUAAUCUUGACAAAUCGGAUCAUUUCACCCAAGUCAUCAGAUAAAUUCAUAUUUCAAAAGAGCAAUAGGCAUUAGCCCUCAAGUGCCAAGGAUAAUACUUGUAUUGUGCUUGGGACUUUAAAAAUUUGUCUUAAAAAAGCAAUAUGCAUUAGCCCCCAAGUGCCAAGGAUAAUACUUGUAUUGUGCUUGUGACUUCAACACUAAUCAUACUCAUAAUAUCUUUCCAUGUUUGCUUAUAUCAGAGGCUGAAUUGACUGAGAAGGACUCGCAUCUCAAUGAUCUGAAGGCCAACAUUAAAACUCAACAAUCUGAGACAUCCAAGGCCAAAUUAGAACUGAAGGUUGCUUUAAAGAAUAUUGAACAGUUUAAACAAAACUUGAACACUGACAAAAACGGCUGGAAGACCGAAAAACGGCUCUAUUGAAGAGAGCUGAAGCCACGCUUAAACCGACGACUGAUGAACUAGAAAUUAUUAUGCAUUAUAGUGGUAUUUAUUAUAAACCCGUCUUUCAUUGACUUAUUUUGUAUGUCGCAAGUUCAUUAUUUCGUGUCACGUAGCUAAUAACUUAUUCUCUUUAACAAAUAUGUUGCUAUUAUGCGUAUCCGUUCCGAAUCGAGCAAACAUCCGAUAUAUGUCCAUAUUCAAGUAGCACCUGCUCCGUAUUUGUAUCAUAUAACAUUCAUAUUCGCAUUUGUAUCUAUUUUUAUGAAAACGUUAAUGGGAAGAAGACUAUUUUUCAAGAGUUCAUAAAUUACGUACCAUAAUUUUAUAGAAUGCAGAGAAUAUGUUACAAGAAAUGUCGGAAGCAAAACAAGCUAAGCUACCCGCAAUCAUCCGCACCCACUAGAAUAUUAUAGGCUACUGUCUCAUAAAGAUUUCAAAAAACACCUAGCUCCUGCCGAUCUCCAAGCCCGAACCUCAUCAAGAAUGUGGUUUACGAAUUGAGGGAUAUUAUGUUGCUGCGUCACAUUUCCAAACAUCCUCGCUCUUUCUUUGCUUCCACAAGCUCCAAGCGAUAAGAAUAACUAGUGAAUCAAAACUCUUUCUGAUUGGUUUCAGCAAAGCUUGGCCCGCACGAUGCCACCACUCCUCCAGGUUGUCCUCCGCUUUGGGGAUGCCGACAUGGACAACUAAAGCAGUGAAAUAUGCUUGCCACGCCUGUCGUGUAUAAACACAUUGCAUAAGUAUGUGAUCGAGAGUAUCCUCUUCCUGGCAGCAAGUGAAGCAAUUGGAGGUAGCAUUUUGUAGCCCAUGCCGGAAUCGAUGGUCGGAGGUCCAAACUCGGUAUUGAAUAGCAAGUCAAAUGAAGAUUUUGCAUUUAAGCGGCACCAAGCUUUUUCAAAUAUAGUGAGCAGUGGGCAAAGGAAUCAUGCCCUAGCAUAGCAUUUUGUAGGUAGAUUGCGCCGAGUAUUGUCCAGUCGAACUCCACCUCCAUGAGAAAACAUCCGGAAUAGCACUAUUUAGUUGUAUGUUCCUGACGACAGACCAAAGGUUCAAGAAUUGUUGUAGACCUUGCGGACCGGCACCCACGUGGAAGAACACUAUUCAAUUUGCAUCCGGUCCGUUUUCAGUAGGCCUAUUCAUGAGCAGCCCGACCCGACGAGCCUGACCCGAAAGCUCGACAUCCGGUCUAGGCAUGGGCUCGACUUUUUCGUCCGAAGCCCGAACAAAGGCCGAAUGAGUUUUAAAUAAUUGAUUUAAUUUAAGAAUCGGUAUUGUACUAUAUUUAAAUAAACUGAAAGUAAUAAUACUUUAAAUAGGAAGUGUACUUUUUUAGGCAAAAAUAAGAAGUGUACUGUUCAGGCCGGAUACGGGUUUGGGAUUCUUGCUUCGGGCUUUGUCAAGCCCGGCCCAUCCAGAGGGCAUGAUCUGGUUCUAGGAAGAAUGGUCGCUUUGCAGUUGGGGAGUGUGUCCACGUCAUUGAUCCGAGGCACUCACCCCUCCACCAAUCAGCGCCCACCUCUCCUCCCCUAUAAAACCCAGCACCCACCCCGCUCCAUUCCCCACACCAUCUCAGUCCCCACCUUUCCCCUCCAGCAAACUCACACAACCCACCACCGAAGCUCCCAACCCCACCCGAAGCGGCAGCCAUGGCCCCCAAGGCAGACAAGAAGCCGGCGGCCGAGAACAAGGUGGAGAAGGCGGCGGAGAAGACCCCCGCGGGGAAGAAGCCCAAGGCCGAGAAGCGGCUGCCGGCGGGCAAGACGGCGUCCAAGGAGGCCGGCGGCGAGGGGAAGACCCGGGGCCGGAAGAAGGGCAGCAAGGCGAAGAAGGGCGUGGAGACGUACAAGAUCUACAUCUUCAAGGUGCUGAAGCAGGUGCACCCCGACAUCGGCAUCUCCUCCAAGGCCAUGUCCAUCAUGAACUCCUUCAUCAACGACAUCUUCGAGAAGCUCGCCGGGGAGUCGGCCAAGCUCGCCCGCUACAACAAGAAGCCCACCAUCACCUCCAGGGAGAUCCAGACCUCCGUCCGCCUCGUCCUCCCCGGGGAGCUCGCCAAGCACGCCGUCUCCGAGGGCACCAAGGCCGUCACCAAGUUCACAUCCUCCUAGACUGACGGCGUGCAGUUGGUUUCUGCAUCUGCAUCUGUACUCUUGACUCUGCUUAUCUAUCUAUCUGCAAGUAGUGGUGGUGGUAGUAGUACCUGUGCUGGGUGAUUGCCAACGCUUUGUUGGCCCGUUGGUUGUAAGAGCUGAAGUUGCUGCUUUGGCAAACUGAAAUCUAUCUAGAACUGAAGUUGUGGUCCUAUAUCUGUAUUAGUGAUCUUGUCUGGCCAUUUGUAUUUUGGUUGCUGAACUCUGGUUAUCUGCAACCAGUGCUGCUACUGAAUUUCUUGGAAUUUGGUAGUUGUAAGAACUGAAUUCAGUGGUGCAAACCGAGAUUGAGAAAUAAUUAUGCAUCAGGGAGUUGAUUUUACCAGUAGGUUCUUGAGCUAGUCCAUGCCAUGUCUGUGAUUUCAUAUAUCGUAGCAAUGUAAUUUGUGUUUCCAGAUUCCUGAUCCUACACCGGUAGGUUCUGCUUCUGCAUUAGGCGCAGAACCCAGUCUUGUUCAAUCGGCUGUGCUUAAUUUCCAGGCUCCGGCGGUGCUCUAUAGUUAGAUGCUGGCGUGCGUUCUGACGAUGUUAUCAUAUCGCAAGAAUUGUGCUAGCAUUGCAAUCAGUGUUUUUGGUUUCAAAUUCCCCGGAUACCAAAACCUUGGGCAGUUUGCAACUAGAGUGUGCUUGGAUUCAAAUCUGGUUCCAAGCUGCUGCGGCACGAAGGACGUCGGGGUGAAAUGCACAUGAAAAACCCGAUACAGAAUAUUUUGCUUUACCUGUCUGUUCUGUUAUUCUUGGAUUGCACUUAUUUUCCUUACAUCAUACCUUCAAUUAAACACUACAAGGCCAAUAUAGGGCAUGUGGAUACAUACGCAUAAACAGGAGUGAUGCAGUCGGAAAACUACAUCAACGAUAUCUCACGUUGUCACUGACGGAAAAUCAUGCAAUCCACUUAGUGUAGUAGCAAGCCGAAGUAGGCAUCACAUUGCACAGGCGUAGUAGGGAGGGCCGUGUAAUCACUGAGUCGCAGACAUCACGUUGGACAUGAAGAACUUAGGAGCAAGCUGAGGCAGACAUCACAUUGCACAUGAAUAACUCAGGAGCAAGCUGAGACAGACAUCACAUUGCACCGGAGGAACUCAUACAGACUAACAUUAUCUGAUAGAACUUGAUAAAUCGACCACAACAACUCAAAGGUUUCGCAAAGAGUUUCAGGGGUAGAAGUGACGCAUCCAACAGUUAUCAAUGAAAAACCCCACCAAAUAAUAUCCAGAUCAUAUACAACCCAAGACCAAUCAAAUAGUUUGUCAGGUUUUGACGGUUGUUGAAUCAAGCAACAGACGCCGCUGCACCCAUUCGCUAGUACAUCAAGCUUACCAACUAGUCAUCGUCGUCAAAGCGACGCCUCUGAAUCUGUUGAACAUACUAGAGUUAGCAUGGACGGCAAAGGGGGAUAAAGCUGACUGCGUUUUAGUUGGAUAGUUUUCAGAUGAAGAGAACUUUGCACCUCACACGAUAUGGAAUUCUAAUGAAGCUUAAGCCUAAACCCACUACUGUGCAAGCAAAGUAGAUUUUCUUGAAUGUAAUGAACUCUCUUUAUGCAACUAUAUGUCUUAUGUUAAGAAUUGAUACAAGGCACAACAAGUACUGAUGUACGCACCGUCACUUUGGUUUGUUUGCUUGUGUGGGUGUUGAUUUGCUCCAGAAGUGAGAUAAGCCUUUCUUCAGACACCUGCAGACAAGCAAAUGCAAUGUUGUUACAAGCAAGUUCUACCAAAUAUGUUGACAUACGAAAGAAAUGUGCCACAUAUCUAUUAUGGUAUUACCUUUUCAGAUAUUCCACCAGUUUGUGCAGCUCUCAGCAGAACAUCCUCCACUCCUCUUGCUUUAUCAGGCUUGACCAAAGCUAUGCGGGAGACUGCCAAUUUUACAGAGUACAGAUGUAUUAAAUUACAUUUUCCGCUUAAAUUAUGCCACUUCAAAGAGCAGACUCAUGGUUAUUUCCCAGCCUGGCGUCAUCUCUAAUUAGAAUAUUUACUCCCUAAAAGAAAACUACUUGAAGAACCGCAGGAAAUUUUCUGAAACACCUAAACGUUUUCCAUAUUGCUUAGUGGUAGACGACUGUUAAGUAAUUGAACCUCUCAGUUGUUAAGAAAAGCAAGUACUCUGGCUCGAAUUAUUUGGCUGUAAAUAAAAAAACAACCAUCAUACACAACAGAAAUGGCAUUAACAGAGAACUUACUUCUUUCUCUAGCUUCAGAAGACAGUAUCUGAGCAAGCAUCAUCUGCCGGCGUUCCUCAGCUUCCCUGGUUGAGUUUGAGAUACAAAGUCAGCUCAGUGUCUCCUAAAGCUUCACAUGACAUAGCGUAAGAUGGAGGAUAAGAUAAUCAUGGGAAUAUGGUGGAUAAUAAGACCAUACAGCUUUGCAUCUUCCUGAGCCUUUUGUUGCCCUGCAUUUUGUGGGCUUGCCUAUAAUUAUGAAGUUAAUCAUUACAUUCCAGUCAGUCAAUCAAGAAAAUGCACUUUUUUUCAGUACAGAUUCAACUUUCACCAUGCACUUAAGUAACUUACCGCACCACCACGCUGUCCCAUUAGCUCUUGCAUUCGCCUCUGCCUGAUGGCCUCCAACUCUGGGUCAUGGUCAGCCUACCAAGAAAAAUAUCGGUUUCAAAUAGAUGGUAUGUAUUAGACCAAUAUAACAGUACCACAAUUAAAACAUAUCAAUGCACCCAGCUGGUCUAGAUUCCACAUGGGAUUAAGCUUGCAUGCAAAUUUCAACAGUAUAUAUACUUCGUCCAAAAACAGUAAAUUUUUGCCUCUUUAGUGCGGGAAAUCAAGCAUCAAUUGAGUCUUCGUAGAACUUAUGUUACACAUGUUGCUCGUGGCCAAAACGCUGUUACUGACUUCUUGGCUAAAUUUGCUAGGACGGAAACUAGAACUGCAGUGUGGUUGAACUCUGACUUGUCGGAGGUACUUGAUCUUUGUAAUUCAGACCGUAGCGUUGCUGCUAUUUGAGUAUACAAUUAUCAACCGCAAAGAAAAAGGAGAGUCCUUGUCACAAGAAAAAUAUAUAAACGAAGGGUUUAAAAACUUGUGAAGAAGGAUUGAAAAUGAUUUUUAUUAUCUUCAUUUGCUAAGUACGUACAUUUUAUUUUACACUGAAGUACAAACAUUGGUCGGAAUACUGCUAACGUCUUUGAAAACAAGGUACGGCAAGGCGUUUACGUCCUUCAUACCUAGCUUGACUCUGAAUAUCAGUAGGAUUAACCUUUUUUUUUUGCGAGGAUCAGUAAGUAGGAUUAACUUAUCUAAAACGGAUUCAUCCUUAAAGAAGGAAGAAAAUAAAAAUAAUAACUAAAAGGACGCAUCUAGCGGGCGCAUGUCCGCCUGGGAUGCUUAGCAAGCGGCCCGUCAUUUUAGGUAAUUUUUUGUCUCCCCUUUUAAUUAGAAUAGUCAUCUAGUAGUUCCUUUUUUGUUACAUAUUAAAUGCCAACAUAUGUAUGUUCUUCUGUGCAUGCAUAUGCAUGUGUAUGUGUUUGUUUGCAUUUAUUUUAUGAUUUUAAAAUUUUAAAAAGGCAUAACUUUCAAUCCGUGUGUCGAAAUUCAGAUACGUUUUCACCGUUGAAGCCCUCGCGACGUGCUCUUCAAAAGUAGAUCCCACGUGGGGAUGUUUUGACGAACUAAUCUUCCUGCAAACUAAACAUCAAUAUAUGUACAACUAGACUACAUGCCGCGCCAACUGAGUAUAUGUGUAUGCCAAUAGUCCUUCUGCCAACUAAACAUCAAUGUGUGUGCAACUAGACUACAUUGCCGCGUCAACUGAGCAUACGUGUGUGUCAAUAAUCCUGCCAACUAAAUAUCAAUGUGUGUGCAACUAGACUACAUUGCCACGUCAAUUGCGCAUAUGUUUGUGCAACUAGUGUCCUGCCAACUAAACAUCAGUAUGUGUGCAACUAGACUAAAUUACAAGCCAACUGAGCAUAUGUGUGUGCAACUAGUCCUUCUGUCAACUAAACAUCAAUGUGUGUGCAACUAGACUACAUUAAAAGCCAACUAAAUAUCGAUGUGUGUGCAACUAGACUAAAUUACAAGCCAACUGAGCANNNNNNNNNNNNNNNNNNNNNNNNNNNNNNNNNNNNNNNNNNNNNNNNNNNNNNNNNNNNNNNNNNNNNNNNNNNNNNNNNNNNNNNNNNNNNNNNNNNNNNNNNNNNNNNNNNNNNNNNNNNNNNNNNNNNNNNNNNNNNNNNNNNNNNNNNNNNNNNNNNNNNNNNNNNNNNNNNNNNNNNNNNNNNNNNNNNNNNNNNNNNNNNNNNNNNNNNNNNNNNNNNNNNNNNNNNNNNNNNUAAGCCAACCAAAUAUCAAUAUAUGUGCAACUAGACUAUAUAACAAGCCAACUGAGCAUAUGUGUGUGCAACUAGUCCUUCUGCCAACUAAACAUCAAUGUGUGUGCAAGUAGACUACAUUAAAAGCCAACUAAAUAUCAAUGUGUGUGCAACUAGACUAAAUUACAAGCCAACUGAGCAUAUGUGUGUGCAACUAGUCUUCCUGUCAACUAAACAUCAAUGUGUGUGCAACUAGACUACAUUACAAGCCAACUAAACAUCAAUAUGUGUGCAACUAGACUACAUUAUAAGCCAAUUAAACAUCAAUAUAUGUGCAACUAGACUAUAUAACAAGCCAACUGAGCACAAAGUAGCUAAAUAUAAGACACCCCUGAUUACAUCAAGCUCCGUCAGGUCUGUUGCGGCACUGUCGAAUGCGUUGAGGAGGUUGGACUUGAGCGCAGUCAGGCUCUCGGGGAAGAGGAGGGGCCAGAGUCGGAGGAUGUCGUCGGAGAGGGGAGUUUGCGGAGGAGGACAAUAGCCAUGGUGCGGAGCUCGGCGAUGGACGGGUCGAAGGAGGCCCAAAGUAGGGACAAGGUUUGCAAUCCACUACUAGAUAGUUGGUCGGGGUAGUAGUAGACUAGUUGCACAUUAAGUUGUUAUGGUUGGUAGGUUGCAACCUUAUAUGAAGUUAGAUCAUGUAGCUUCAAAGUUGGUUUAAAAAAAGUUGCAUCAUGUAGUACUAAAGUUGCACAAUGUAGUACUUUAGUUGCAUCAUAUAGCAUCAAAAUUGGCAUCAAUUUUUUUUCAUCGAAACAUAUCCAUGCGGGAUCUAGUUUCGAAAAUCUCGUCGCGAUGAAUCCAACGGUGAAAACGGAUCAAAAUUCCGACGUGUGGUUUAAAAGAUAUGACUUUAUAAAAAUUUAAGAGGCUAAAAUAAAUGUGCGUGAAUCUGUUUCCCAGACACGUAUUUAAUGCUAACAAAUAUAUCCACUGACAAAAAAGACACACAUGUAAGCCGGCCGCCCGUUUCUACGAAAUAGUGCGUGUGCACUUUAAAGGUUUUAGGUAACUAAAAAUAUAUAUCAAAAAAUGAAGUUUUAUAAGAAAAAUCAAUUAGUUGCAUUGGCAUUACCUUUUAAUAAAAAAUACAAUAAGUAAACAAAAAAACUUGCAUACAACUCUGUGCUGAAAGUGUACUUCUUUGUAGCAUGCAAAGAAUAAUUAUAUAAUUGUGCAAUCUUUGCAUAUAUUUUAUAAUAUUUAUGUGUAUAUUUACACUCAUCCAAAUACCAAAAAUACUAAGAUAAAAAAUAAUUAAUAAGGAAAAACAAAAACCAAAAGCAAAAACACAUAAAAACAGAAAAAUAAAAAAAAACAAAUGGAGAUAGGGGAGGGCUGUGCCGCACGGGUAACGGGCUUCAGUCCAUCAAGGAACUGACUGGCCCAAACCAGUGGUCCGUCAAAAAAUCAGCCCAACAAAAAAAAAACACCAUGAAAAAAAAGGGAGCACAAAUCUCAAAGUAGGAAUCAACUGCCAACAAAAUCGACUGACCAAAUAUCAAUCCUCAGAAUAUGUACACAUGACUAAAAUGAAAGGGGAAUACAGUUAGACAAGUGAAUAGUUGUGGGGUUGGGAGGAGGUACACAAAUGAAUUACACGUUUUUGUUUUGUUUUUGCGAGGGUAGUACCGCCCCGUUCCAAAUUAAUUGUCUUAGAUUUGUUGAAACAAUGACAAAUUAAUUGUGUUAGAAUUCAACAGGAGCUGCGUCAUGCUGGGUCUGCGCGUACGCAUGUUUAGUGGGAAGCUUCCAGGAAGCUGCAAGUUCGACGCAAAAAAAAAGGAAGCUGCAAGUUUAGUGGGAAGAAGAAAAACCUUCUCGCAAUAGCAUGCGUUUGCANNNNNNNNNNNNNNNNNNNNNNNNNNNNNNNNNNNNNNNNNNNNNNNNNNNNNNNNNNNNNNNNNNNNNNNNNNNNNNNNNNNNNNNNNNNNNNNNNNNNNNNNNNNNNNNNNNNNNNNNNNNNNNNNNNNNNNNNNNNNNNNNNNNNNNNNNNNNNNNNNNNNNNNNNNNNNNNNNNNNNNNNNNNNNNNNNNNNNNNNNNNNNNNNNNNNNNNNNNNNNNNNNNNNNNNNNNNNNNNNNNNNNNNNNNNNNNNNNNNNNNNNNNNNNNNNNNNNUACCAGAACAUGCAUGCUUGCAAGUUGCAAGAACCCAACUGUUUAGCCUUCCAUGGUAAUAAGAACAAUAAGAAAAGAAAAAAAGGAGGAAAAAUAAAGAAAGACUUUCUGGUCCUUUCCUUUGGCUGCUUGAUGAGAAGGACGCCAUGUGUUGAAUUCUUUUCCUUCUUGAGAUAUAGUAGUACCGAGUACAACUUGACACUAGGAACUAAGCCGGUCACAUUUGCAAUUUAAGAGAUUGGAGGAGCACCGAUAUCAGCGAGUGAAUGUAUCACGGGUGUAAUUUUGUACUCAUUUUAUAAAGAAAUAUAAGAGCGUUUACCGGCAGUAUUUAGCUGGUGGUUUUUCUUUUUCCAAAUCAAGCGCAGAAAACAACAGGAAACGAGUCAAAAGAUGCAUGUAGACGAGUUUAGCUAACUGAUAAUUUGCAAAUUAUCUCUCUACACGACGAGUUUCGACUUAAAUAAUACUCCUUCCGUAAACUAAUGUAAGAGCGUUUAGAACACUAUUUUAGUGAUCUAAAUCUAUUACUAAUCGGCGUAGUAGUGCGUAAUAAUCAAGCAAGUAGUAGCACUCAAUAGCUUUCAGACACUACGGGAUCAUACAGUACAUAGUAUUACCAGAUUGCCAGAUUGCCAGGAGAGAGCACUGACGAAACCAUGGCGGCGCGUGCGUCAGUCGAAGAGCAGCGCGGCGUGGGGGCGCAGCUUCCUGCACACGAUGUCGACGCCGAGAUAGGGGAUGCCGGUGGCCGUCGCCACGUCCCUGAUGUGCCUCCUUGCGCCGGCGCGCUCCAGGGCCAUGCAGACGACGGCCGCCGCGACGGCCUCCGCGUUGUGCCGCAGGUCGAGGGCGCCCUCCUCCAGCCUCCGCGUGGCCUCCAACGCCGCCGCCGCCUCCCGGUCCCCCAGCCCCAGCAGCGGCCCGAGGCGGCGCAGGCAGCCGGAGACGGGGACCACGCCGACGCCCGCCGCCUGCCAGGCUUCCUCCUCGCCCAGGCGCUUCCUGAUGUGCGCGAUCAGCUUGCCGAUCUCCUUCCUCGCCGCCGCGCUGCCGUCGUCCGUGGCCAUGGCCAGCUCCCUCAGGGACCGCGGCGAGCCCUCGUUGCGGCACGCGAUGGAGAGGCAGGCCGCGUAGAGCCUGCUCAUGUCCCGGCGGGACCGGCCCUUGCCCCAGCGGCAGCCCGGGCCGCGCGGCCACGCCCUCGCCUCCUCCAUCUUCCUGAACACCUCCUCGGCCCGAUCCCCGACGGCGGGCGCGAGGCCGAGCUGCUCUGCCAUGCCGGAGAUGGACGCGUCGAACUGCUCGGCCCCGGCCCCGUCUCCGCCUGUGCGCGGCCCGAUCCCGAGCCUGAGCCCGACGCCGAUGCGCGCCAUGGGGACGGGCGGCGAGCCUGAGCCUGAGGCCGAGCCCGGCGUCGACGCGCGCCAUGGGGACGGGGGCCGUGCGUCGAUCGCGAGGAAUGGGAUGCCGAGGAUGCGAUCGCACUCGGCGCACGCGACGUGGUCGAGGCAGAUGCAGCCGACCACCGCCGCCGCCGUGACGCGCCCGCCGUCCGGGUGGGCGGCGCGCGCCUCUGCUACCAGACUGGGUUCCAUUGAGCGAAAACUGUAGGAUGGCGUGCCGCUGCGGUGCGUUUGGCGGCCGCCAGAUCCCCUGAGCCUGGGGCGGUUCCUUUUUGUUACGAACCCUGAACCCUGAUCCCUGAUCGUGGCCUCGUGGGCCAUACCAUCGUUUUCUUUUCACUCGACUACAAAUCUUUCCUAAGAUUUUUGACGUGACAAUCAAACCUUUUUUGUUGUCAAUUCCUGAAUCACUCAGUGCCUAAUGGUUCAAUUCUCAAUGCCCAACUAGGAAGUCACCCAAGCCAAAUCUGGAGGCCAAUAAUUGAAGGUCGAGACAUACCGGAACAAGGUCUUAUAAGAAGAAUAGGUAACGGGGAGAUGACUAACAUUUGGUUGGACAACUGGAUACCUAGGGAUGCUAUGAUAGACCUUAUGUGUGCAGAGUUGGUAACCCUUCCAAACUUGUGUCACAUCUUAUUGAUCAUACAUCUGCUACCAUGGGUUGUGUGAGACUUGAGGAAUUGUGCUUGCCAACUGAUAUCCCUGCUAUCGUUGGCAUACCUCUUUGCACAAUAGGCAUCGCCGACUGUUGGGCUUGGAACUUUGAGAAAAGUGGGAUGUUUACUGUGAGAUCCGCGUAUAGAAUGAUGAUAGAUACUAAGAUGAGGAGAGGGGCUUGGCUGGAUGGCCUUUCGCGAUCUUACAUUACGGAUCAUGACUCGGCUUCAUGAAAAUAAUUGUGGAAAACUCCGGUCCCAGGUAAAAUAAGAAUGUUCUUACGGCGUUUGGCAAAACAUUCUCUCCCACAGAAGAUGUCAGAGCUCAUAGGAACAUGUCAACUACGAGUACAAGCGGUAUGUGUGGUGCCGAGGAUUCUUGGCGACACUCUUUGCUAGAGUGUUCGAUUGCUAGAUGCGUGUGGACUUUGGUCGAUGGAGAUUUAGUAGAACACCUAUGCGAGACAACUAAACCCAACGCACGACAGUGGAUUUUCUCAAUGAUAGAUACAUUAUCAAAUGUUUCGUUUGUAAGAUUGGCUGUCACACUCUGGGCCAUCUGGUGGGCACGUCGAAAGGUAAUUUAUGAUGAGAUUUUCCAGAGUCCAUCGGCCACACAUGGGUUUAUAUGCAGAUUCAUUGAUGAGCUGAAUAUGGAGCAGGCGAAAAGUUUCGGAACCACUGGGUUGCUGGGCAGAACAAGGGUGAGACCGAAGACACCCCUGCCACGAUAUAUGAAAAUACAUGUGGAGCAGCCACUACAAUAAAUGAGGUGAGGGCUGUGGUGGCGGCUGUAUGUCGCGAUGGAGACGGAAAUUAUAUGGGAAGCUCCUCCUUGGUAAUUUAUGGCAUAAAUGAUGCAACGAGAAGCUAUUGCAUUUUGGGAGGCUUUAUCUCUAGCGAAAGAUCUCAUGCUCCAAAAUUUUGUUGUAGCCUCAUAUUUGAAACAUAUUGCCAGGGAGAUUAAUAGUAGGUCUCAAUUGUUUAAUUGUAUUUUUUCCUUUGAAGGCCGAGCUGCUAAUAGCAACGCCAGUAGGUUGGCCAAGUUUUUGCAUUCUUUUGAUCAGGGGCGACAUGUCUGGUUUGUCCAACCCCAUGAUCCAUUUUGUAUCCCACAUCAUGUGGAUUUUGAGCAAUAAAACUUGAUAAUACCCCUACAAAAUCAAACCUUUUUUGUGACAAAUAAUGUUCCUCGAGGAUGGCAAGUGUUGGUGAGCAUGACAAACCCGACUCAUGUAUUCUUAUCAGAAAAUUGUCAUGGUUGCAAACUAAAUUUGUUAUCAUCGCGUCAAUAUAAAUUGUCAUGAAAAAUGUCAGGUUUAGCAUGUUUAAAAAAUUCUCUUCAGAUUUUUUGUGUACCCCUUCUUACCAAGUUUUUUUGAGACAAGCCCUUCUUACCAAGUGUAUUUGAAACUCAGAAUGCUUCAGGCCUUUGGGUAGACUUACUAAAAGCCAAAUGUUUCCCGAACGACACUUUAUUUGAGUCCUCAAAGCGUGGAUCGACCUUUUGGAAUAGGAUCCACGCGGUCAAACCAACGUUUGCGUUAGGUGCCCAAUUCCAUGUCCAUAACGGGAAAUCCACGCGUUGCUAGCAAGACUCGUGGAUGAGCUGCGAGCCUCUCUGGAUGGAAUUAUAGUCCCUCUAUGAACUCACUACUAACACUGACAUUUAGGUGGCCGAUGAAUUGGGUGCAAUGCUUCCAUUUGUUUACUUCAAAAGUGCACUCUCGCCGGCUGAAGGGAUCAUCUGGUCACAUAUGUGCAGCAGGCUAACCAGCGUGCUAUUCUACGAAGCUCAAGAUGGGGUUUCUUGGAAGCUGCCGAACUCAUGCCAGUUUUCGGUCAAAUCUCUCUAUUCCAAGCUCACUAAAGGGCCAACCCUUGACAUCACCAAGGGCUUUGGAAGCUGGUCUGUCUCUAAAAAUAAAAAUCUUCCUUUGGCAAAUGUUCAGAAUUCGUCUCCCCACAUCCGAUAACGUGGUUAAGAGACAAAGCCCAUCAAAUGGUGCCUGUGCGCUUUGUGGUAGUGCAAAAGACGUUAACCACGUGUUGGAGCACAAUUCGCGAGGCCUUCGGGCAAAGCUAGAACCCUUCUUCGGGUGUUGCCUGUAAUAUUCUUAAGGCCCAUUGUGGCCCUUUCAGCAGGGUGUUAGGAAGAUGUGUUGGGGCUCUCUUGUGAUCGCUUUGGUCAAUUAGGAACAAAAUUACCACGGAGAAGUGCUUCCCUUCUCACCUAGCUGACUGCAUCUUCAAAUGUCAUCUUUUUUUGUACCAAUGCACAUCUUUGAGGAAAAAACAUGACACUGAUGACAUGCUCGAGGAAAUGGAGAAUAUCAUAAUGAUCCAAGUCAUUGCUCGCCAUCUCUCUCCGCUCGGUUGAGGUCUUAUUUUGGGAUCCUUUUGAGCCUACACGCUCUUGUGGGUUGGGGCUAGUUGACCGCCUGCAAUGCUGACUUGGUUUAGCCGUUGUCCGGCUUAGGUUUGUUUUUGAACUAUAAGUUUGUCACUCUGCUUGUUGUGUGCUUUAUUAAUUUAAAGACGUACUCUCCUUGCAUCUUCGUUCUAAAAAAUAGUAGUAAAAAGGAAAAAAAAUUGAGAAGUAAAAAAAAGACAUUGUGGGUCUUUUCCCUUGGCUGCUUGAGAAGGACAAGCUGGCAGCAAAGACCAGCAGAGAACAAUAUAUUAGGGUAAGCUAAGCUAUACUGAAUCACCUUGGUGGACAAGCUUGUUGCCAAGGGUACAAAAGAAAAGUCUUUUCUUUCUCCCCCCCUCUCGCAAGACCAUUGGGAUAGCCUUUCCCCCCUUCGAACUCCGCUGGCGAGUCUGUGGAUCCGCUUUUUCUGCCUGAUGCUUAGACGACCGGGGGCUGAAAGUGGGAUGGUGCCAUGCCUCCGGUUAGUGGAUAGGCUAGAGCUUUAGUCCUCGCAAGGGCGUGCUCUUCUUCGAGUUGGUUUUCCGGGCUCCGAUUCUCCUCAAGCUCAUCCGCCAGGACGGAUUAGAAGGAGCCCUAGCAUAGAUUUUUGCCGGCUCACUGCGGCGGUAAUGUUAGGUUUUAUUGCCACACGUACACGACGAUGAUUUUUGGUUUUAGUUUUUUCAGAUUGAUUCAAGGGUUCAAAGACGACGACUAUGGCUCUGGGACGUUGGCCCUUAGAGGCAUGUGCACGAAGACUUCUCGACUGUAUUGACAAGGUCAGUCCGGCUCCGGUAUGGGAGCAACGACAACAACGCGUCGGCAACUCAGUCCGGUGACAACAAUGGUCGUUUGGCGGUUCAGGGGCAUCAACGUAAUUUUUAUUAUAUUCCGGAUGAUUUGUGCUUCUAGUGAAUCUUUGUAAUAGAUCUGAUUCAUUGUCGCAAGAAAAAGAUAUAAAAGAAAGGUUUAAAAACUUGUGAAGAAGGAUUUAAGAUGAUUUUAUUAAGUAGUAUAUUUUAUUUUACGCUCAAGUACAAACAUUCGUGAGAGUUCUGCUAACAUCUAUGAAAACAAGCUACCGCAAGGCGUUUAGGUCCUUGAUAUACUAGCUUGACCAUUAAUAUCAGUAGGAUGAACUGAUCUAGAAAGAAUGCACUCACAUUUUAUUUUAUUUAAAGGAGGGUUACCCCGGCCUCUGCAUCAAAAUGAUGCAUGCAUCUAUAUUAUUAAGCAACAUGUUCAAAAAUUCCGCGGUUCAGUAUAAGCUUACAAGGAGCGAAAAUAAAAUGAAGAUAAAAGUUGCCACAACCGGAGAAAACAGAUCACGAUGACUAAACACCAAGCUUAUUAUUGAACCGUCAUUCAAAUUGGUUGGAAAGUAUGCGCUCAAUGUGUUGGAUUUUUCUUUCCUUUUUUGAGAAAUACUGAGUACAACGUGAUAUGGAGUAAACCGGUCACAUUUGCCAAGUUAAGAGACAUAGGAGUAUCAAUGUCAAGAGCAAGUUCAUGAAUAAAAAAAAAACAAGUUCAUGCAUGUACCGCACUACCGCAGGGCUAAUUUUACUCUUUUGAGCAGCCCCGUUUAGCCUUGCUUCUGAAACCGGCUAGCUGAUAAUUUUGUUUUCCAGUAUGGUCGAAGUGCUUGCAUUUCCUUCGGGACAGUUGGCACACUAAUCUUUUUUUUUGUCGAAUCAAAGGAGUUUUAUUUCAUAUUUAAAGUUACAAUUACGGAGGAAAAACGUCCUCCAUACAUGGUGGUCCUUAGUGUAUCCAUACAGCCGUGGUACACUCGAUAUGACUAUACUUUGCCAGACAAUCGACAACUCUAUUUUAAUCCCUAGUUAACAUUUCUAGAAUAAACUUUCUGAUUUUUAUGAACUCGUUAAUUUCAGCCACAAGAUGACCAUAGACAGAGCGAUCUAGCCCAUCCGCUGUUAAACUGUACAAUACCUCACUUGAGUCAAAUUGUACAAUGACCGGAAGGUUAGUGUGUUGAAUAGCAAGCGUCAUUUCUUACAUGAUUGCAUGUAUCCCCAUCUCCAAUGCAUUAUUGCAAUUGAAAAUAAAUCGAUAAGCAGCAAAACUAGCAGAUUCGUUGUGUCACCUGAGAACCAUUCCCACUACCGCCUCGCUAGAUUCCACUGAAAAGGAUCCAUACUGACAGAGCAGCAAAAUUAGGCGUUAGAGGUGGCCAAGGCCUAGGCCCUGAAGUAGCUCACAUUUGAGGAAAAGCCUAAUCAGCAAUUGGCAUUUCCCCCUUAAUGAUUUCCUCUGUACUCAACUUCCUAGUAUCUCCAACAGACUUCAUAUAGCUAAUCAAAAAGUCCACCGUAGCCUUCAUCGGGGGAGCCUCUUUUUAUCAUGAGUGAGAUAAUUCUGUAAUUGCCAAAUACGCCAAAUGAGCACGCUCACGCUGAAGUACGUUACAGUUAAGCAGCAAGUUCAGCAACCACUCCUUACCGCUGUUAAGAAGUAACUGGUCUUGUGGUAGCGACCAAACUCUCCUCAUGGUCUUCCAAAUGCUACGUGCAUGGCCGCAUGCAACCAAAGCAUGAUAGCUAUCUUUGUCUACACUGUCAUAGAUGGGACAUGUCCCGUGCAACACCUGUACUUCGUACGCAAAGGAACAGAGGAACACCAAAUAAGAUUUCAAACAAAAGGAUUUCCUUCAGGAUUAGCACUCGACACCCCGCCAGCAAAUAGUUCAUCGUGCACAGAAAACAAUAGGAAACGAAUCAAAAGAUUCACGUUGACGAGUUUAAUUGAUAAUUUACAAUUUUUCUCCGCAUAGAAGUUCUGAACUAAAUACCUACUCAGCGUAGUAAUAAUCAAACAAGUACAACCUCUGUUUCAAAUUACUUAUAUUAGAUUUAUUUAGAUACGGAUGUAUUUACACACUAAGUGCGUGGUUGCAAUGGACUGAAGAAUAGAUUUUCAGACACUACGGGGAUCACAUAUACGAUUGCCGGGAGAAGAACAAUAAAGGAACCAUGGCGGCGCGUCCGUCAGUCGAAGAGCAGCGCGGCGUGGGGGCGCAGUUUCCUGCACACGAGGUAGACGGUGGUAUAGGGGAUGCCGGUGGCCGUCGCCACUUCCCUGAUGUGCCUCCUGGCGCCUGCGCGCUCCAUGGCCAUGCAGACGACGGCGGCCGCAACAGCCUCCGCGUUGUGCCGCACGUCGAGGACGCCCUCCUCCAGCCUCCGCGCGGCCUCCCACGCCGCCGCCGCCUCCCGGUCCCCCAGCCCGAGCAGCGGCCCGAAGCGGCGCAGGUAGCCGUAGACGGGGACCGCGCCGACGCCCGUCGCCAGCCCGGCCUCCUCCUCGCCCAGGCGCUUCCUGAUGUGCGCGAUCAGCUUGGCGAUCUCCUUCCUCGCCGCCGCGCUGCCGUCCGCCGUCGCCAGGGCCAGCUCCCUCAGCGACCGCGGGGAGCCCUCGUUGCGGCACGCGAUGGAGAGGCAGGCCGCGUAGAGCCUGCCCUUGUCCCGGGGGGACCGGCCCUUGGCCCAGCCCGGGCCGCGCGGCCACGCCCUGGCCGCCUCCAUCUUCCUGAACACCUCCUCGGCCCGAUCCCUGACGGCCGGCGCGAGACCGAGCCGCUCCGUCAUGCCGGAGAUGGACGCGUCGAACCGCUCUGCCAGGGCCUCGUCUCCGCAUGUGCCCGGCCCGAUCCCGAGCCUGAGCCCGACGCCGAUGCGCGCCAUGGGGACGGGCGGCGAGCCUGAGCCCGAGCCUGAGCCCGGCGUCGUCGACGCGCGCCGUGGGGACGGGGGCCGUGCGUCGAUCGCGAGGAAUGGGAUGCCGAGGAUGCGAUCGCACUCGGCGCACGCGACGUGGUCGAGGCAGAUGCAGCCGACCACCGCCGCCGCCGUGACGCGCCCGCCGUCCGGGUGGGCGGCGCGCGUCUCUGCUACCAUGCUGGGUUCCAUUGGGCGGCAGUGAGGAGCGAAAACGGUGGGAUGGCGCUGCGUUGCCGGCCGCCAAAUCCCCUGGUCCUGGGCAGUUCCUUUUUGUUACCGUAAUAUAACCACCCCUGAUCGUGGCCACGAGGCAUUGAGGCAACGACAGUGGGUUGCAUCAUAGUUGAAUGCUGGCAAAAUGAGAAUGUGAAACUUGAUUUAAGAAGGAAAACACGAAAACGGUCUUCUGAAACUUAUAAACUUACCUAUCUUUUACAUGCAUACUUACGUCGACUUGUAUCUCUACCUCUCUACCUACUAAUAAAUCACGCAUCGCUUCCGGUCGUACGUCGCUGGUGUUUUUGCGAAAAAACCCCGCUGUUUCUUUGAAAUCAACCCGCAGUCCUUGUUUAAGUGGUACUCAUGAAAAACGAUUCAUUUUUGCGUAAAACCCCCUAUCGUUUGGACUAUUCAACGCGCGGUCCAAGCAGUUCUGUAAAGAAAAAAGGAAACACAACCACACACAGAGCACACGGGCUCGCCUCCUCUCCCUCUCGCCUAUGAAGUCAUCGCCGCCGCUGCCGCCCAUGCCGGCUGCUUCCGGCGCCUCCGGCGCAGCGCGGCACGCCCCAAGCUGCCGACGGUCCGCGCCUCCCUCCCCUCCACCCAGACUCUCUGCUCCCGGCCUCUACAGCCCGCUCGCAACCACACACCCAUGGCUAGGGUUUCGGGCAUGGCUUCGCCGACGUGUCUCCGGUGGUCCCAGGUUCGUCCUUCCUUCCUUCUUGGCCGAGAUUCGCUGCCCAUACACCUCACCUUCUCUUCAUAUUCUCAGCUGGAGAUGCAGUUGGGGCACGCCAUGGGAGUUCCCCAUCCAUCACGGUUGCCGUUGUCAAGGGAUUCUUCAAGGAGAUGUCAAGGACGCCAUGGACAUGCAGCUCCUCAAGGUUUUAUCCCUCCUUUCCUCUGACAUCAAGUUGUAACAGUACAUUAAUCCAAGCAACUGUUUUCAGAUCAAUUAAGGAAUCAAUCUCAUGAUGGUUGAUGCUUGAUGCAGCGGAGGAUUGGGCCUCGCAUUAUUUUUUCCAGAAUUGGGUGUGGGUACUCUCUAAACUGGAUUGAGUGAGCUAAAUCUGUGCAUCAAAAUUGUAGUCUGUAGCUUUAUGUGUUACGUCUUAAGAUUGAACUUGAAGAUUGCUUUUGGGAGUAGUUUUAGUUGGUAGAUGUUUCAGGCUCCAAAUACGCACACAUUAUGUGCUUAAUGUGUGGCAUAAACAUGAUCAGUUUUAUGCUUAGAAACCAAACCACUGUCCACCCAUUUUAUUUCUUCAUGAGUAUUUUGUGUUGAAAUCAGAUCACCGUUCACCUUUUCUCGUACUGUUGUCUUUAACUUAUUUUGCGGAUUCUCAAUAAAAUGCUCAGUUCAGGAUGUGAUUUUCAGUUUUAGGCAUUUGAUACUUUUGGCACUGAGCAAAAAAAAUUCCUCUGAGCGUGUACCUUCAAAUGCAAAAUUCUGACUAUGAUUUCGCAUGCGAUCACACCGCCAUCGGUCGCUCUGCCUACCGAGUGCCACCCCACCGCCUCCCCCACUCCCCCCACCUGGGACCUCACCGCCCGCUCUAUCUAAUAUAUUUUCCAGUUUUCUUAUAGUCGCCAAUACAAAUGUCCGCUUGAGUGUCAAAAGGCAGCAGGGAUAAUGAAAAAAGUGUAUGGGUUCGUUGCUACAUUGUAGUAGUUAUGUACAUCUCAAAUUUUCAGCCCAGGAUUUUUAUGUUGACUGAUGUGAGUAUUUCUUAGUCAGUCUUCAUCUUCCAGCUUUGACUGAAAAUAACUCUCCUGAAAACUGUUGGCAAUACUCACAAUGUGAUCUACAAAGAAACAUUUGAUGAUCUUGCUUGAUAACUUACCGGCGGGCAGAAAAUAUAUCAUGUUAGUACCAUUCGUAAGCAAACAUGUACCUUAUUUCUGCUUAGAUGUUCUCUGUUUCUUAUUUCAUAAGUGUUUUGCAUCCCCUAUAGAAGCUGACCGGCCAAAUUUAUGUUUACUACACUAGCAUAGUCUCUCAAGUACUGCACUCCAGCAGGCCACCCAACCCAUAUUUAAAAUCGGGUACUUUUAGUUCUGACUGCAGUCAUAUAGAUAUUCAUGUAUAAAAUUGUUUGCCUUUUGUUCUGGUUAAAUCCAGUGAUGGCGCUCUAGGUGAUCAUGCUUCUUAGCCGCUAUUAGCGGGCGAAGGCGCAGCGUGUACAAGUAUAUCUUUCCACAUAGAAAAUAAUUCAUCUACACAAGCCUUCAGAACAGGGUAGAUUUCCUAGAAGGCGACACCAAAUAGACCAUUUUUGUACCCAGGUUUCCUUUCAAGCUUAGAAUUAUCAAAUUCUACUACAGUUUAUAUUUGAUGCAUGAAAUUGACCUCUUAGCAAUCACCGGUUCAACAAUCUUUGUAUUAUACGCAACCAUCAGGCUUAUGCAUAUAAUCGUUCAGGUCCUGAUUUUUUAAAUUAAAUAUUCUUAAUGUUGAGCAUUUUUUUUACAGAUUCAGUUCAUUAUUCAGGAUCACAAGAGUCCAAUUCUUAUGUGGUUCAGGAAGCACCAAUGAUAAUAUGAGUUAGACGGCUAUACAACUCGACUUAUCUACUGAAACAAGAUGCUUAGCGGAUCAACAAGAUGCUUACAGAUAUAGAAUAGCAGGAGGGUGAGGUGUGCGUAUAACAUGGCAAAUGAUAGACCCGAUGAAGAAGGAAUGACAGUUGUGCAGAGGGUUAAGGGGUGUGGUUACAACGUGGCAAUAAGAAAAAGACCCGGUAAAGAAGGAUUGAACGUUGUGUGGGCUUUCCAUGUAUGAAUACUACUGGCAGUGUUACAGUGUGCUGAUAUGUGCUUUGUAAACAGCAGGCCAAGUGGUCCAUUAGAAAAGGGCUGGAUAGAUUAUCAAACAAUGAGGGAAGCAAGGAAGAGUUCGGGACGACGGCGUAAUGAUUAGCCAUCUUCAAGUAGAAGAUCCGGACAACCAUAAGGGCGUGUGAUUUUUUUCUGAUGCAAUGCAUGGGCGCCACGACCGACCUCAACCUUCGGAUUUUACAGUACUGUAGUAUUCAUAGAAGUCUACUUUUUUGUUUGUAUUCGUAGUAAAUUAUAGUUAAUUGAUGACUAACCUGAUGAAGGAUUUAUUGUCCUAUAGCUUCUAUAAUUUACCGCACUAUAAUUUUUUUGAUUGUUUGAAUUUACAGCGACCUUAUGUUUGAAUUUACACUACCCUGUAACUUCUAUAAUUUAUAGUAGUAGCCUAAAGGUUGUGAUUUUUGUAUUUUACAGUGAUAGAUUUUACACUAUACAGUUACCUGAAUUUAUAGUGCUACACUUUUUACUGGAAGAACUAUUUGAAGGAUAUUGUGAGAGUACUGACCUACAGUUUGUCUUCUUGGUGUGACUGUAGUUUCCUGAUUGUGUAGCUACUAUGUCCCCUUCUUCCUCCAUCCUCUUUCUCGUUCUUAUCUGAUCAUAAAGCACACAUUGUUACUGGUUGUUUCUCCUUACUUUUACUGAAGUUUCAGUAUCUUUAUUGUGAUCUGGUUGUUACUGACUGGAAUUUUAGUAAAAUGAAACACUGUAAAAUUCAUCAAAGCUGAAUAUGUGAUACACUUUAAAAGUUACUCUUUAUUCGUAGUGAGAUGACUGUAAAUUUCAACUGAAGCCACUGUAUUUAAAGCUUCAUGACGACGAAAUGUUUAGUAUGUGAUUAGUUCAUCUUGUGUUGGUCAUUGUACAGCAGGUUGAUGAUGACUUUACGGCAGCCUAAUUAUGAAUUUAUACUAUGUUUGUGUUCAGGAGUUUCUUCCACAAGUAUCAACUUCAGAUCCUUGAGAAUGCCAUGAGAAUUUCAGAUUUUCUUCCAAUAGUAUUAUGAAGAAAACAAAACUGUCAAUAACGUGGAGAAGCUCGUGAGAGUACUGUCCUGGCAGUGUUGCUUUUUGGGCCCUUUCAUUGCUUGCUCAUGGAUCAUAGAGCGCAUAGGUCAUACACGUGCCAUGUUUGUAAUGCCUGAAAAAAUUAGUUGAAUGCCUCUUUACUUUUAGUCAAGUUUUUUUUUCCAGUUGGUGUCAGAUUUUUACUGGUUGGUAUAUUUGAUUGAAGGCCAAUUCAAUUUCAGUCGAUUGUAAUAUAGACACUCCUUUUUUUUAAUACCAAAGUGUUCUCUAUGGGGGAAGCCUAUACGGCGCUUCCGCGCGCUGGGCGUUCUCAUGCGCAAGCCCAUUUUUUGUUUUUUUAUUUGUAUUUUCUUUUUCUUUCUUUUUUCCUUUCAUUUUCUUUUCUGUUUUCCUUUUUCUCUCUUCUUUUCUCAUCUUUAUUUUUCACUUUUUUUGUGAAAUUUCUUUUCAAAUUCGCAAAGAUUUUUUUGUUCAUCGAAUUUCAAAAAAUGUUCAUCGAUGUAAAAAAAGGUUUAAUCGAAUUCAAUUUUUUCAUCGGAUUUAAAAAACGUUCAUCAAAAUUUGUUCACCGACCUCAAAAAAAUUCAUUAAAUUAAAAUUGUGUUCAUCAUUUUCGAAGAAUGUUCAACAAAUUCAUUUUUUACCGAAUUAAAAGUUUUUAUUCAAGUUUAAAAAACGUUCAUCAUUAUUAAAGAAUGCUUAUAAUUUUUUCCAAAAAAUAAAAAAUUGUUCAUAUUUUUUGAAAUCAUGGACGUUUUUUGAAUUAAAGAACUGUUUUUGAGAAGUCAAAACGAACAAUGUUUUUUGCAAUUUUAGAACCUUUUUGUAAUCACAAAUCAUUUUAACAUAAAAUAAAAAUGAAAAGUACAACAAACGUAUAUAUCUAAAAAUACCCAACAUAGUAAAAAUCGUUUUAUAAUAAGCACACAGUUAUAUGUAUAUAUUCACACUUUUUAAAAACUGGUCAAAAUUCCCAAGAGUUGUUACAUUUAAAAAAUGCAUUUAGAAAUGUUCAGAAAAAUGCUUUUUUUAUAAACCAUUUUGUUUUAUUAAAAAAGUUCAUGUUUGCCGAAAAGAAAAGAAAAAGAUUUAGAGACUAUUCCAUGAAUUAUUCUUCAAUUAGCCGAAGAAUGUCGAGGUGGCUUCUUAACGACUAGUAUUCAGCCGAGAAACAAUAAUCAUGUUUAUUAGAACGGAAUAUAAGAAAUGGUGCGUAAUGAUAAAGAACUUCAGGACUUCAUGGAGUCCAAGGUUUGUUGGGUGCGACGUUCGGCGAAUAAAGUUGCCCAUGUUUUAUUUUCGAGCCUACCAGCGUGAUAACUUCAAUAAGUCACAAUGAUUUCAACCCAAAAGUUGUACCUAUUGACACAUUGAGUAGAUUUUGGAAGAUUCCAUGCCCGUUGCAACGCACGGGCAUUUGUACUAGUUAUACUAAAGCAACGACCAUUAAUUUGGAUCGAAGACAAUAACAUAUUUUCAGUUGCGCUAUACAAACAAAAAGAUAAGAUCUCUCUUUUUUCUUAUGCAAAGACAAUAUAUCUCUCUACUUAAAAGGAAGAAGACUUGUCUGGCGCACAUUCAUCUUUCAUCCAACCCUAUGUAAGUCUUCCCUUUCUGUUUUCUUUUGAAUUUUCCUCCUUUCUUUGUUUUUUCGGAAAUUGCCUCGACUACCUCAUCUCUUCUUGACUGACCAGAUAAAAUUUCUUGCUAAGGGGGUGUUUGGUUCCAGGGACUUUUUUGUGUUGGGACUAGAAAAAGUCCCUAGCAAACUAAACACGGUGAGACUUUUUUGGGACCUUUUAUUAAAAGUCCUUAGAAGCACCUCCUUGAGAGUCUUUUUCCAAAAGUCCUAGGGACUAGAAAAAGUCCUAAAACUAGAGAACCAAACACCACCUAAGUCAACAAGUGCUUACUAGAUAAGCAUUCAUCUCUCGUACACAACAGUCCGCUCGUACUUGCUCCAACUUAUGUCGUUUUCUUAAAGGAGGAUAUACCCUGGCCUCUGGGCGAUGCAUGCAACCAUUUUAUGAAUUAUUUACAAUAACCUUACAAAGUAAUACAUCAAUAAGUCUGAAGCCAUCAUCUUGGCGACACCUGUCGCUACUCCUAACCCCUUGAUGAAUGGGUGCCGAAUGUUCGAGCCUAAUACCAAACAUACAUCACACAACCUAACAUCUAAAGCCGGAUGCCCUAGAACAGCCAUAUACCGCGACUAGAUCACACACCAGUCCGGCACACUCUCAGUGAUCGCUGCCGCCGCCUUCCACCGAUCCAUCUUCAGAACAAGUACUGACGCACCAACCUUGCUAGGCCUGUCGUCGACGCCACCACGGCACCAGACAAUGCCACCAUCCUGCACGUAUCCAUCCACACGCGCCUGUCACUGAAACUCCGCAGCGCCAUACCGCCGGGAUCCGUCGCCGGCCUUGUGGUAGAUGUAACAGCGCUCCUCCUCUUGUCCCCUCCAGCCAGCUCCUGCUCCAAAACGAUGCCCCCCAGGAGGGAGAACGACACCGAAGACGCCACCAUCGUUCGAUUCGGUAAACCCAGAUGUAGGGUUUCCCCCGAAACAUCCCAGUCGUGUUGACCCAACUUAUGUCGUAGUUGCUCCAACUUAUGUAUGUUCUCCCCCCCCCCACACUUUUUGUUUUCAUAUUACCCACCCUCUUCUCUGUUUUUGCCACCAGUUUUCAAUUGCCUAGUCUUGAUGUAGCGGUAAAGCUGUUGCCUUGUGACCAUGAGGUCCUGCGCAAAUGGGAGGCUAUGUGCAUCGGGCUGCCCUUUUAUCAAUUGCCCAGUCUCUUGUUGACUUAUCAAAUAAAAUUAUGUUUUCUUCGUAAUCCAGUAAGUAUUACCAAACAAGUGCUUACCAAGUAAAUCCUAUGUUUAGAAUGAAUUUCAGUUUUUUACCCCUGAGUUUGUCAUUUUGACACUAAUUACCUCGUUUAAGAGAAUUUCAUCCGUCAUACCCUAUAAACUUACUGAUUUUUUACAUGCAUACAUACAUGUCGACCUGUACUAUACAAAGUUGUACUAAAGCAAUGAUCAUUAAAUUUUGUUUUUUGAAAUGGAAACCACGUGUUUCAAUAUUUGUCAAAGUUACAACAUACGCAGUCCCAGACCAAACAGAGCGAGGACAGAUGUCCUGGUACAUUUGCACAAAACACCCCACGAUGAGACAAAGUACAAUCAUAGCCUUGGAGGUGCUUGUGUAGAUUGGCAACUACCGCCUAUCUCCACCAUGGCGGCAGUGCCGCCAGAGAUAAGAGAGACAACAAACCUUCAUACCCUGGUCCGAAGAAGCACCAUCGCGGACAAAGCCGCUUUGUGAGCCGAUGAACUCGUCUCCCGCGAACGACAUAACCUUCUCCGAUGUGGUUCGUCGGCUGCAGAGCGUCCCCGUGCCUGUCGGGCUCUAGAUCCAUCGUCUUCAUCCAACCAAGUAGCAGAAGAGCAUUGGAAUUGCCCGUCGCCAUCCACUUGACAUGCGCCGAACCAGCCCUACUAAGGCCGUCACCGUCGUACCCCGAAGAGAGGAUAAAUGCUGGCCCACUGCAUCCUAAAUAAAUCUCCCAAACUCCAAGACGCUGCUGGAGCACGCACCAUCGAGACGACGAAGCCGAAGAACACAAUUCCAAGAUGGGUAGCUACCAUUAAUUUGGAUUGAAGGGAAUAACAUAUUUUUCAAUUGCGCUAUACAAACAAAAAGAUAAGAUCUCUCUUCCUCUCUCUCUCUAAGAUCUCUCUAUCUCUCUUCUUAUGCAAAGACAAGAUAUCUCUCUACUUAAGAAAAAAAGAAGACUUGUUUGGCGCCCGUUCAUCUUUCAUCCAACCCUAUGUAGGUUCUCCCUCCCUCUUUUCGUUUUGGUCAUAUAAAAUUUCUUGGUAAAUCAACAAGUGCUUACCAAAAAUUGUUCAUCUCUCACUCACAACAAAGGCGUAAGGUUCUGUCAUGCGCUCGUACUUGCUCCAACUUAUGUCGUACUUGCGAGGGGGCCGGCCGGGGUUUUCACUUGGUGUAGUAGUAGCGCGGCGUACAGGCCGACGCUAUUGCUAAGUCCAUUAGCUGUAGCGUCGACGCACAGCCCACACUACAUCUAGGGCUAGAGUUUUGGCCCUGCGACCCACGUAACAGCAGCAUGACCAUGCUAACCAACGCUGCUGCUACGCAGUAGCAGUAGCACAUUUUGUACCAGGCGCUACUGGUACAUACCAGUAGCAUGGGCCCCCAAUCAGAUGCUACUGGUAAACUUCUACGUAUAAGCAUUUUCCUUGUAGUGUGAAGGCCCUGGCCCAUCUCCGGUGCCCAUCUUCUGAUACAUAAGGUCUUUUGACCUAGAAAAAAAUAAGGAGAGGACUUUCGGGAUGGAGCGUCGCCGUCUCGAGGCGGAACUUGGGCAGGAGCACUUUUGUCCUCUGGCGAAGCGAUACUGCCGGGGGAACUUCCCUUCGGGAGGGGGAAAUCAAAGUCAUCGUCAUCACAAACAACCCUCUUAUCUUUGGAAGGCCAAUCUUUAUCAACAUCUUCAACAACACCAUCUCAUCUCAAACCCUAGUUUAUCUCUUGUGUUCAAUCUUCGUAUCAAAACGUCAGAUUGGUACCUAUGAGUGACUAGUAGUGUUGAUUACAUCUUGUAGUUGAUGACAACCGAUUUAUUUGGUGGAAGAUCAUAUGUUCAGAUCCAUUAUGAUAUUUAUUACUCCUCUGAUCUUGAGCAUGAAUAUUAUUUGUGAGUAGUUACUUUUUUUAGAGGACACGAGAGAAGUCAUGUUGCAAGUAGUCAUGUGAAUUUGAUAUUCGUUCGGUAUUUUGAUGGUAUGUAUGUUGUGAUUCCCUUAGUGGUGUUAUGUGAACGUCGACUACAUGACACUUCGCCAACUUUGGUCCUAAGGGAAUGCAUUAUGGAGUAGUUAUUAGAUGAUGGGUUGCUAGAGUGACAGAAGCUUAAACCCUGGUUUAUGCGCUAUUUUGUAAGGGGCUGAUUUGGAUCCAUAUGUUUAAUGAUAUGGUUAGAUUUUAUCCUAAUUCUUCUUCCAUAGUUGCGGAUUCUUGCAAGGGGGUUAAUCAUAAGUGAGAGGCUUGUUCAAGUAAGCACAACACCUAAGCACCGGUCCACCCACAUACCAUAUUAUCAAAGUAGCGAGCGCGAAUCAAACCAACACGAUGAAAGUGACUAGAUGAAAUUUUCUUUUCCCCUCAAGAACGUUUUACCUAUUAUAAGAGACCGUUCCGGCUUGUUCUUUGCCACAAAAGGAUUGGGCUACCUUGCCGUGUUACCAACAAUUUCAGUGAUUGCAGAAAUUACCUUGCUGAAAACCGCGUGUCAUUUCCUUCUGCUUCUUGUUGGGUUCGACACUCUUACUUAUCGAAAGGACUAUGGUUGAUCCUCUAUACUUGUGGGUCACCAAUAGCUUCUUAGGUAAUUUCUGAAAACAAUAUAUAUGAUAAAUGAGCAUGUCAUGCGUAAUUAUCAAUCAAAGCAUACACUUCAAUCCACAUAUAUCAUCAGAUUCAACACUAAGCAUAUCUUCACAUCACUACAGUAUGCAUAUCAUCAAAUUACUACACUAAUUAAGCAUAUCAUCAAAUUAGUACACUAAUUAAGCAUAUCAUCAAAUUACUACGUACACUAAGCAUAUCAUGAUUUGGGGAUAGUGGAAACACUUGCCCCUAGAUCACAUAAGGCACCGAAUGUAUUCAAUCCUAUCUCAAUCUCUAUAGUAGGUUCAAAAGCUUCCUCUUGCGUAGCUAGUAACUUAUUGUAGGGUUUAUUCAUUUCAUCAUCAAGUUCAUGUACCUUGGAUGCAACUUUUUUUAACAAAGACAUUAUAUGCUUCGUUAUUAGUUACCUUCGGUAAUGGAUACUUCAUGGAUAUCAUCUUUACAAAAUAUGCAACGAUACAAUCGUACUCCGACACAUGAAUUGUGUCAAGGACUUCAGUUUUCUCUUCGUUGCUUCUCACCAUUUUAACUUAUUCAAACGGGUUAGGCUCUGGUUUACCUGCAAACUUAGCCAAAAUUAGUGUUUGGCUCUCCGCUAUUUUAGCCACUUUUGCUUCCAUAUUCUUGGAUCUUCCUUCAAGUACCUGCACAUAACUUUUUAAUCCAACAACCUUACUGGUCAAAUGAUCAAGUAAGUUAUCAUGAUUCUUCAAGAUAUUCUUGAAGUUUUCAUUAUGCUUAGUCUGACUAGCAAUAAAGCUUUUAAGAGUAUCUUCAAGAGUAUUUCUAUUGCUACCAUUAGCUCCAUUAAAAUUGUUGGAUGCUCCUCCAUUACUAGGAUAAGGAAGUCUAGGAGCAUAGUCAUUAUUUUUCCAAUUAUGAUUGUAGCUAUUACGAGCAAUAAAAUUCACAUCACUAGUUUCUUCAUUAGUGAUGGCAUUUACGUUUACCUCUUCUUUGCCUUUUAUCACGGAGAUAAGUUCCUCAAGCUUGGCCGUCAACUCCGCGUUAUUUUAUUCCAUGGCAUUCACCCUUUUGGUGGUGGUUCUUUCAACAUGCCAUUGGGCAUGGUUCUCUUGCAUAUCAUCUAGUAGUCUCUUGACAUCUUUUAUAGGCUUUCCCAUGAUUGUUCCUCCUGCAGCUGUAUCAAGCAUAGUUUUUGACAUAUGAUUUAAGCCAUUAUAAAACAUAUGAUGGAUUAACCAUUCCUCCAUUCCAUGAUUGGGACCGUUUCUUAUAACUUCCUUCAUUCUAUCCCGCACAAGUGCUAGUGGAUCAAGUCCCUCUUGCUUGAACCCUGUAAUCUGAGAACGUAAUUGCAUAAUAUUUGUAGGUGGAUAAAACUUAGAUAAAAGUUUAAUGCAACAAUCUUCCCAAGAAGUAAUACUGCCCUUAGGUAAUGCUAUAAGCCAUUCUCUAGCUUUUCCUCUCAAAGAGAAAGGAAAUAGACGCCAUUUCAGAGCGUCGAGAUCAUAAUCCUUUAUGCGUGUCAUGUUGCACAAUCAGUGAAAUUGUGUAAGUGCAUACCGGCAUCCUCAGAAGCAAAGCCUCAAAGUUGCUCCUGUUGAACCAUGGAAACUAAGUUCAGUUUAAUCUCAUACUCAGCGGCUGCUACCUCAGGUUGUGCUAUGGGUUCACACAUGAAGUUGUUGCUGGGAGUAGCAAAACUCCCAAGAUUAUUACGAGCCAUAGUAACAUUUUUGUUUUUCAACUGAUAAGACUUGCAACAAGAACAAAACUUAAACUAAAAAUAGGAAAGUAAAAAAACUAGAAACUAACUUUAACAAACACUCUAAACACAAAGGCUAGGAACACUAAACUCCUCCCGGGCAAUAGCACCAGGAAAAAGGCUUGAUACCUCCUUUUAUUGAUACCUUGGUUUAUUGAACCCACGAGAGGAACAUUUCCUCAAAGUGAUGGUCUCUAGCAAGCUUUUGUUAAAGUUUCAAAUCCAGAUUUUGACCGGACCAGCAAGCAAAUAGUGAUUCAAACACUUACAAUAAAUAGAGGUACGAGUAUGAGGUCUUAUGCUUACAACCUUAUAUUUGCGUUGAGAUCAAAUAGGAUAUUAAUUUUCGCCCUGGAAGUUACCCAUCGAGAUGUGCUUGUUACAGAUCGAAGUGGGGAAUGUGCCAAAAUAACAUCUUGAGCAGCGCGAGUCCUGCAUCAAGAAUCACUUGUCCUACUGCAGCCCCUAUCCAUCAUGCGGGGUUGCCUCCAUAAUUAAGAUAAUAAAAUCAGACAAGAGCUUUGGGCGUUUAAUGAGUACACCUCAUUUAGCCCCAAGGACAUGAUCCAUGUUACCCUAGUGAACCUUACUAUCACUAGCGCUCGGUAUAACACUUCACGGUCUCCUUGCUCCUAGCCUCACCGGUGCUCGAUCUCCAUGAUCCGGGCUACCUGCAGCGAUGAAGAUCGUGGGCAAGACAAGAGACAUCUUCACAGAACAAUUUUAUUCACACAUACGGGAUGUUAUGUCAAAGUCUUCCAUUGAUCCCUUCAACAAAUACCUCGGGUAGUUUACAUUGAACUGAAAAAAUGUCUUAUAGUCUACCAAAAUAUAAGAUGUUUAUGUAGUUCAUUUUGAACUACAAAAAUGUCUUAUAUUUUGAUACAUAGGGAGCACAAAAAAUUGAUCCAUUUUAUUUUACCUUUGUUCUCCUCUCUAAUCUACGCAUAUAUAAAAUCUACUACAAUCUUAGUCUUGAAUUAGUUGACUCAUAUUACCUCUGUCCUAAAUUAGCUUUCAAAUCUAAGCCAACUAAUUUAGGACGGAUGGAGAAGCAACAAGUUUGCUAGUAGAGACGAGGGAAAUGAUUAGGGAUUAACACAGAGAUCUAAGUAACGUGAUCCAUUCACAUUAUGUAUAGUAAUAAACGGCCUCGUACCAACCGCUACCUUAUGUAUCCUUCCUUGGAACCAGCUACAUUAUGUAUCCCUUGUUGGAGGCAGACGAGUUGCUACCAGUAAACUAAGAGUAAAUACAAUAGAGUGACAUAAGCAGUCUACAAGGACUAAAGUAUUAUAUUUUUGCUUAGCUGGAGGAGAGAAAAGAGGAGAGAGAAGGGAGGCAGACUGUAGAAUAAGAGCCGGCUAUAGCACGAGACCCAAGUCACUUUGUGAGAAUGUAUAAUGGGUCAACUAUUAAUAAAAUACUACAUAUUUAAAUUUUACUAUUGUACAAGCCGGCUAUUAGGUUGACUCUAGAUGACAUGGCAACUUCUUAUAGCCAACUGUUGGCUAUAUUAUUAACCAUGCUCUAAUAUAUCGCUCCUCCUCCUCCUCUUCCUCCAUUACUCCCUUCCUCUUGUUCCAUUCAUUGGUUACCAACCAAAAAGGGUGUGGUUUACGCUGCCUCAUCGAUUCAUGGCAGCGGGGCCUCCUCAUUCUUCUAAUCCAUCGCUAUAUAUACUAGAAACAUUCAUUCAUCCGCGUGCAGGGUACGCGUGUGACCUAGGACUUGGGCGUGGCCACAGCGCCCACGGCGUCCCGAGAGAAGUCGAUCGCGAGGAUGAACGUAGGCGCGGACGUUGGCACUAAUCGGCAUGUUUGCGACGCCGAUUAGAUCGUCGUUGGAGCCUGGGCUCACCGAGGAGGAACAAUUAGAAGGGAGAGAGAUGUUUGGUGGAAUAGUUCGUUAUAUUGCUUGAGCCUCGUGGGCAUAUAUAUAAGAGUACAAUGAUCAACUUGGAGUACAAGACAAGCCAGAACAAAUCCUAGUCUAUCUCGUCUUUCCUAAUAAUCAAUAUACUCAACAUCCCCCCGCAGCCACACCAGUAGGGAUGCAGAUGGUGAGACUGGAGAAAAAUCCGAAGGCAAGCCGACGGACACCUCCCCAAAGUCGUAACGGUCGAUGCAUCGCGGAGUCGUGGCUGGAGUGGCAACCGACGAGGUUGCUCAAGCAAGGCGGUAGCCCUUUGUGCCGUUUGUCGAGGUAGCCGAUAGCGUGGGUGGUGGAGCCGUGGUCGAGGUAGCCGUGCGAAGAAUGCUGUGGUUGAUGUCGAGUCGGGGUAGCCGGUGUCGAGGAAGUCGCCGUGGAGCCACGGGCGCAAGGGGGCGCCGAGUUAGCAUGGGCGUAGUGGUGUCGAAGUAGUGGUGCGCCGAGAAGAAGAUGUGGUUGACGACGCAUUGCAGCGGGUCUGCCAAGCCCGGGGACACAUCGUGGACGAAGGCAUGCACCGGUGUUGCCAGCAUCGGGCAUGCGUAGACAGACGAAGACUAAGUUAACAAAGCGUCGAUCAGGCUUGCCAGGCCUGGGGACACGUCGUGGAUGAAGGCAUGCAUCGGUGUUGCCAACACAGAUCAUGCGGAGACUGGGACCUGCACGAGCUGUACGCCAUGUCAAGGAGUCGGAGGCCAGCAGAGAAGAAGACUCGACGACGAUUGUGGCGCCAAUCGGCAUGAGGCCGAUGUCACCAACGAUGCUCGGAGUAGACGAAGUGGUCGGGGAAGAUGAUGACGACGCUGGCGACAAGCUGGUGCUGGGCGAAGGCAAAGGAGGUGGACGGGCGACUAUGGGGGUAGCGGCGGCGGCGACCUAACGGCGGCAGCAACAGCUAGGUUAGGAGCACGGCGGCGGUGCUCGAAGUAGGCAAAGAACCCUGACAGCGUGACAAAGACCUGCACGGACGGUGGCGUUCCCGCGCCAAGGGAGACGGCAUGACAUAUACCACGGGAGGUCGACCCGCGAUGACGGCGGAGUGGACCACGGGUCCCGACACUACGGCCCGAAGGGGCGACGCAGUGGCGGCGGGCAGGUCGGGGCGACGACAGGAACCACGGGCCGCGGCGCUAAGGCCCGAAGGGCGGUGCAGCGGCGGAGCGCGGGUUGGUGCAACCAUGGGGACGACCUCGAGGCGGCGGCUGGGACCGCGUAUCGCGACACUACGGCCCGUAGGGGCGACGUAGCGGCGACGCGCGAGUCGAUGUAGCCGCGAGGAGAACCACAGGGGCGGCGGUGCUGCGGCCCGAUGGGGCGAUGCAGCGGCAGCCCGUUGCUCGAUCGGCGGAAGGGCGCGCUGAACUCGGGGACAAUCUUUACGGGACUUGUGGAGGCACGCGCAACCGACGGGCCAGAUUCGUCGCGCGACGUAGAUGGGACGGAUCGCGGCGGCGAGCGAGUGAUCAAGCCGAUCGCGCGCGAGGUCGGGGACGCCGCUCGGUGAAGGCGUGGUGCCGACGGAGUCCGGGAUGAGGCCGGCGACGACGGACGGCGUGGGACGUCGUGCGGACGAGCGUGUCAGAACCGACACCCGGGCUGCCAAAGCAGCGUCGACGCCCGGGCAGGGAGGCCCGAGCGACCAACGGAGCAGCGAUGCCCGAGUUGAGGCAUCCGACGAGCUUGACGCAGUCGUCCGGACGCAGCUGAGGACGAGGCCAUCGAGGUAGACCGUCGAGCCGCCGUGCAAACGCGACGGAGGCGGGUGACGUGGAUCAAUGGGCGAGCUGACGUGCGAACGACGACUAUGAUUGGCCGUCGCAUGGCGCGAGGCCAUCGGGUCGGGGCGAUGCAGGUGUCCCGGUCGGAGCAAGGCGAUGACGACCAGCGUAGAUCGACGGGCGGGCUGGUGCAUGGACGACGGCCGUGAUGGGCCGCCGCAUCGCGUGAGGCCGCCCGGUCGGGGCGACUGGCGGGCAGACGCGCGGACGAUGACCGUGAGGGACCGCCUGUCGUGCGAGGCCGCCGGGUCGGCGAAGAGGUCGACCGGCCGGUCGCGCCGGUGUCGGAGUAGAGGCGCAUGGGGGUCGACGGCGGCGGUGGGCGACGCGAACCAAUCAAGUGGAUCGGAAAACCAAAAAGUAAACGCCGAUCAAAACGACCGACGAGAGAGAAAAACCCAGAUCAAAAAAUUGGAAAAUGACUCUAGAACAGUCGGUCGACACGACCGACAGAUGAAUCCUAGGUACGGGCUGCGCGGCCCCCGGUGGAGGUUGUGAAGGCCGACCGCCCUGGGGCGGUGCACGUAGCGGAAGCGACGGGUGGCUAGGGUUUAGAACCCGAAAACCGAUACCAUAUUAGAAGGGCGAGAGAGAUUUGGUGGAAUAAUUCAUUAUAUUGCUUGAGCCUCGUGAGCAUAUAUAUAUAUAUAUAAACACGAUAAUUGACUUAAAGUACAAGACAAGCCAAAACAAAUUUUAAUUUAUCUCAUCUAACAUAUAAACGCUGCUAGACUACCCGCCUAGCGAGGGCACCCGCGAACGCCGGCAAUUCUGGAUCGAGCGAUCCUUUUACUGUGCUGCUUUUUACCCUGGUGGAAGCUGGUCAACCAUCCGUCUCUUUCUCACGCACGAUCUCGUUCUGGCGCUGGAUGACGGGUGGGCUCGUUAGAUUGUGGGGUCUAGCAAACGGAGAGUGGGCGGCUCAUAGGUUUGCGUCGCAGUUUACUGCGUGCAUCUGCCAGCAGGAUAGAAACGUGGGGAUGGGCUGCGUGCGUGCAGUAAAACCUAGCCCCCCCCCCAUUCUCCCCCUCUCGUGCCGCUCAUCCCCACCUCCUCCCACGCGCCCUCGCUUGCCACCGCCCCCGCCGCCCCCGCCGCCGUGGCCUCUUCCUGCUCCGUCCUCAUCCCUGGCGUGUCCCGUGCACGAGAGGCCGCCACCUCUCCUCACCUUCUCCUCGCUUCCCGAUCUGAAGUGAAGGGAUUGACGCGGCCGCCGGGGAUGACUCCAGUUCAUCGUCGAUGGGAGAAGGGGAGCAUCAGCCGCCUCCCUCUCGGCCUCCCCGUCUCGUCGGAGCCGCCGCUCUCAGGGUCCUUCCCAGCCAUCCAAGGAUCUCCCAUCCCAUCCUGAGCCGGAUUUCAGUGACAGGGGAUGAGAGAAUCGACGAUGCAUCAAGGCCCCCGCCACCUCUAUUGCGGCACAGCACAACGGCCUCUGCAGAAGCUAAGCGGCAGUUGCCUCGUCUCCUUUUCAAUCGCAACACCUGCGACCUUUAAUCUCAAUAGCAGAGCCCUCAGUUGUUAGGGAAGGUUUGCUCGUGCUUGUGAUGGUUGGCCACAUCCCAGCAGCGUGUGGGAGCCGCUGUUUUCAGCCAGAGUUGGGUCUCCUUGCCAUUCAUCACCAGCCUGUCUGCAGGUAGCUCCUACUCUUCUAUUUGAUACUGAUGAAAAAGGAGAGGCACAAGAUGAAAAAGGAGAGGCGCAAAUCUUCAGACCUUUGCGUCCGUAGUUUCACUGAACUAAACUUCUCUAAAAUAUACCCCAACCAGAGCUUAGUCUUAGAUAUUCUGUUUGUAGUUUAAAUUUGCUCAGAGUGAUUACUCCACCAUUACAAUGAUGUUUAUAGUGGCAAAAUGAUUGUAUAUGUAUGAUUGAUUGAUACAAAAGCUGCACAGUUAUGUCAAACCUUUUAUCUUGACAUUUUUUUAUGUAUCUACUAAAGAUAAGGGAGAACCUUUUAUCUUGACUGAAUCGUUGUUUGAGAGAAAACAGAAAGACGAAGGCGAUGAAGAGGAUACAUGAGCGGUCAAGUCAGCGUGAGGUGGAGAAGAUGUGGCAUUUCUGUCGGUGGCGCUGGGCCAGCAACAUCAGACAGUGGACUACGGGGAGCUGCCGUGGGUGGUGGCUACAGUUUCCACGAGAGUGGGGUGGGGGUGGCACAUGUGGGGGCGACGACAGCAAGUGGAUCCGCACCGCUGAGGUGCACAACCACUCCGAGAAGGUAAUGACCUUGCUUGCUGUCGUGCGCUUUGCUUGUUGGGGUUGAUCAUUGAUUAGGCCACAACAACAGAGGAGUGGGAUCGGCGAGAAGAUUGAAGGUGUUGCGGACCCUGUACUCAAUUCCAACAAGGUCAUGACCUUUUUUUUCCUUCUUUCUUUGUCGGUGGAUUUGCGGCUGCUGAGUUCGUGUUUGUGAUGAAAUUAAUGAGUUAAUAUUUGCACUGGUUUGCAUGUUAUAGAUUAACAAGGCAUCUAUGCUUGACGAGGCCAUUGAGUAUGAGAAGCAGCUAUAUCUCGAAGUACAAGUUAGUAAGCAUGCCUGGAUGCAUGGUUGGAGGAUGAGCUUAGAUUGAGGGAGAUGGUGGUCUCAUCGAGGACGUAUGCAUGUAAGAUCUAUAUGACUAGGGCCCAAUGCUCAGUUAAUUUCUGAGUGAUGGAGUUCGUCGAAUAAAUGUGAACCACAUCAUAUGAAUGGGUGUUAUUCUAGCUUUAGUCGAUGCACAUUGUUCAGUUCAUAUAUGAUUCCAACGGCUUUACUUCCAUAUCACAGGUUUUCCCAAACCAAAUAUUAGUAAUGCCACAUGUAUAUGAUUAGUGUCUAUUCAUUUGUUUUGUUUCCACUUCCAUUUUAUUGCCUGCAAGCAACAUUGACCUCAGACAUCUACUACUCAUUGCCUUUGCUAUACGGAUUUAUAUAAAAAACGAAAUUUAGCUUGCCAUGUAUGUGAACACUUCUGUUACAAGGGCUCUCCAGGCUUAUGAUCUUUCCAGGAUAAUUGAUUGUUGAAUCUGAAGGUAUAUAAUCAGUUUGUUAACUCAUGUAUCUUUAUGCAUUUUUGUUCAUCCUCAAAAUAUUGUUGCUUACUUUCCUUGUCCUACAUUUUUUAGGUUGCUGAGGAGGUUCAGUUCUUGUAGGCUGGGUAAAACUUGAGUUGCCUACAAAUGAUUUUGCCCGUUUGUUGAAGAUUUUUCUGGGCUUGUGCAUGGCGAGCCCGAUGGGCUGCUUAUGAGCAGUUUGCACUGUAGGUUGUCAAAUCCUUGCAAGAUAGAAUGUGUUUUUUUUUGCAUUUUGGGCUUACAAUGGAGUAAUCAACAGCUACGACCAUGCAGGUAUGAACUUUGUAUGAGAGGCUAAGAUAGGCAUGGUGACAUGGAUCAUGGUACUUGGUUUUGCUAGAUUUCAUGUGUCUAUCCAUCUAUACUAUCUCCAACAAUGCAUAUUUUCCCCAUGUAUCUCUCAUUCUUCCAUGUAGCUAGAGACUUAGAAUAACCAACGGAACUUUCUCAAUUUUGUGUUUUCGCUCUUCUCAGAUUUUAGGCUGGGUGUAUAGAGAUGUGCGGCACACACUGAAUUUAGAUUUCACUUGGAAUAUAUCAUUGUGCCAUGUUCAAAAUUAGAACUACAUAGAAGAAUGAAAUUUUGUGAUUGGGCUGCUGUGGUGUUUCUUUUUAAAUAAAUGGCAUGCUAACUUGCUGGUUUAAUUUAGGUGUGUAAGAUAGUGUCUCCUCUCCGUUGCAACAAUCAACUUUCUCAGGUUUGUCCAGUGGUUUGAUGCAGCUGAACCAUAGAAGCAACCAAUAGCUAUUCUGAAUAAUUAUGACUGUUCUCAGCUAAACCACACCUGUACUAGCUAAACCAAGGAAGCAACUUAUGAUCAAACCUGACAAUGGUUAGCAUGAUCAGGUAUGUACUUCUUAACUUAUCCUGAUUUUUGUUUCUGUUUUUUUCUUUCGGUUUGUAUCAAACUGAUAGUGUUUGCAUAAAGGUUGGAGGCGUUAUUUCUCGUGAGGAGGUCUUUUUGCUCAGUCUUGGUUUACUAGCUUCAUCCGGUUUUGAAGUGUCGGCAUGGUGUACAAGCCUGGUCAGUUUUCUUGGUCUAUCAAUUUAAGAAUUAGAAGCAGCAGGCGGCAGCUCAGGCUAGCGCCAUGUUUACCAUCUCAUCUCACUGCUGUCUAUAUUCCAUUUUUAGAUUCGAAAAUGAUUCCGAUGAUUUUUGUCUGCCUUGGGCAACCUUUCCAUUUCAGCCUCAUGUAGGAUUUUGGUCCCCGUGAUCUUCCUUGCAUAGAAUAGAUGACCUACUCCCAAUCCUCCUUACCUCCCCUCUGAAUCCUUUAUGUCUCAGUGGUUGCCCAGGCUUUCGUUCAAAUUUGGCAUGAUUUUUUGGUACACAUUACCCAACCAACGCCCUCCCUUUCAAAGGAAAAUGAUGAUUUUUUGUACUUAAGUUUGUUGUGUGCUGUCGGUGGCACUGUGUUGGAUUUUUAGAGAAAAUAUCAUUGUUGCUUCACUGCUAUAUGUGGUUUGAGUUGAUGCUCUGUUUAGAAAGAAACAAGUUUAGAAUAGGUAAAUUUUAGUUAAGCCCCAUUGUUUUGCUUUAGGCUAUCCUUUGUAAUUUCCUUGUCAUGUUUCGUGCUUCAUAGCAUGUGUAUGGAAGCAUAUAAAUGCAUCCAUAUAAACUGCAGUUGUAGUAUCACAUUUUUCUAUCAUAUAAACUGCAGUUGUAGUUUAGAAAUGAACUUCAUGGAUAAUUGUUCAUGUAGUUUGAAUCAUAAUUGAAUGAGGUGUGGUUAUUCUUAAUGUUAACUGAGUGGUACGACUGCAAAUUAACGAUAAGCUGUUGGUAAACGCCCUCUUUUUGGAAACUUGAUAGUGCUCAUUGGUUAUAUUGCUAUAUGCUGACAUUAUAAUUCUUUGUUGACCUGCUCAUGCAAAUCCUACCUUUCCGGUCAGGUCACUACUACAUGUUGGUUGACUGAUCCUAUCCCAAGAUCGGUCCCCUCCUGAGCCAUUUGAUCACCAAAUGCGCACGCAAAUGCCUCCCUCCCAUCCCCAUCUUCCGCAGCACUCGCACGCUGCUGCGUGGUGCGCUCCCUGAGCCACCCUCGCCAGCCACACACAACCUUACGGCCAAACUUCUGUACCAUUACUAUAUUACGGGUGUUCUCUGUUCUCAGCGUUUUCUGUUAGUUUUCUAUCUCUGGUCUUAUAAUUAUAUUCUUUAGAAUAUCGCCAAGUCAUGGCUGUAAUCGAACAUAUAAAUCACGCUUCGUUUAGAGUCAACAAAAGAAUGGAGUAACAGGGCAUGGGCUUCGUUUAGAGUCAACAAAAGAAAAGUUUUUUUAGAGUAAUUUUCAGUUCACAGUUUGCUUCGACUUUUUGUGACUUAUGAUGUUUGGAUCAAGGAUUUCAAGAUUUCCUGUUUUUAUUAUUGAUGAUGGAAGAUGGAUCAGAUUUAUGCCUGUUCUAAACCAUUUAUUCUCCGUUUGGGCUGUAAUUUCUAAGUUCGCUUUCUUAGUAAAGAACUUAAUAAAGCUUUGUUUCUGCAGACUAUUUUAUCUUUUCUUGGAUAAGAUUAUAUACUUUAGCUCGUGAGCUGACCUAUUUGUGAUUUGUACCUCAGUUGACGGGAUAUCUCAUAACUGAAACCAUGAACAACAAGUGCUUCGGUUAUGGUGUUGGCGAUCCAUUGCUUGAGGCGACAUCGUGUGCAAGAUUAUUCUUGUGGAGGCCACUGGCACAGUGGCACCCUCCUCGGUCUGCUGAUCCCAUUACCCAGGUUAGCUUUUCCCCUUUCCUCAUGCCUGAUUCCUAUUUUUGUGUUGCUCUGUUCGAUUUGGAGUUUCCCCCAUGUUUCCAUGAGAUGCCUUGGCGAUGGCUGAGGCCUCCUGUUAGAAUGUGAUUUAUGUGGUGUUCACGGUGAGAUAAAGUUCGAGGUCCAUUUGAUCCGUAGUUAUUCUUCCAACAUAUUUUGUGGCUCUCAUAAAAUUUGGAUGACAUACCGAAUUGGAACUUGGUGAGGUAUGUCAUGAACGACAUUAUAUCAGUAGCACGGGCAUUGUGCAACAAACUCACUGAUGAGACAAAAGCCACCUUUUUCCUAUAAACCUCACUAGGCUACCCGCUAUUCUGAGGCUCCCGCGUGCACUACCCUUUGUCCCAAAUUAUUUCCCCAUUUCUCCUUGGUCUAAACUCUAAAAAUCCACAUAAGAUUCCAGGAAGGUUUAGCUCAGCUAGAUUUUGUCAUGUAUUUAAAACAAGUUCAUGUAUAAUGUUUUAUAAAUAAUUCAAUUGAGGUAAAUCAACGAGUCUAUAUUUGGUUUAGCAUGGAUUUUUGGGGAUUCAAUCUUCGUCUUUGCUAGCUGGAAUUUGAGUCAAGAAAUCUGAUAGAUAGAUAAGCUAAAUUUUGUAUUGUUGCACCAAUAGCAAUUGUAAUUUCUUUCUCACCUUCCAGCUAAGUCCCUAUUUAAUAUGGUUCUAUAUUGGUUCCUUCAAUCUGAUACUUGUCUAAAGAGAUCAUUUUAAGUUCUGCUAAUCACGAGUUGACAUCAAAAUUCCUUCGAGUCUCAUUCACUAUGCUUUCUUACUAUAUUACCUAAUUAAGUGACAAUAAGGCAAAAACAAAGCUGAAGAUCAGAAUGUGUCGUUGAUCAAUAUUUUAGUUAAUAGAUCGUGAAAUUGAAAAAGUUAGUUUGCUCUCUCCAAGAAACAUCAUAUCUUAAACCAUGUUCACACGCACCAUCUAAAUCUAUGUGAUGCCUCUUUGUUCAGUUCUGAUGAUGUGUGUGCAGAGAAAAGGCAGCAUAAACUUGGUCCAAAGAAAAUAGUGAAUAUUAACCUGGGAAGGGUGAAAAUUGAGCUGCAAGGAAAACCAUAGCAACUUUUUCCUUUUUUCUCUCCUGAAAAUUUAUAUACAAUGAGAAAGUUCAUAUUAGCAUGUGGCAUACGUCAUGAAGGAAGCUGCACUGAAUGAGUCAAGGGAAAUCUGAAACUGCAGGUCGAACCUUCAUCACGGCAUUCGUGCCAAAGUGAGCUCAAAUGAACCAUGGGCUAUCAGUCAGUAUAAUAUCCAUAGAUAUAUCGUCAACCCUGUAACCAAAACUAUUAUAACCUUUUCAAGAUGCACUAGAACUUUAUGAAUCAUAAUUUAGCAACUGAAGAGUGGACAAGGAAAAAAACUCGUUAGUUUAGUUAGUUUGAAGCCAAAUUCUAAUCAUACAACUGAAGCCGAAAAGAUUCUAUGGGGUCGAGCUCCUAAUGAUUGAUGAUGUACAGUGUGUCUAAUUCCAGUUCAAACGUCUUUCACUUGAUUGGUUUGACCUCUUAUUUUUAGAUGGUAUUAGUAGUCAGUCGAGCAUCAAUUUUUAGAUGGUAUUAGUAGUCAGUCGAGCAUCUUGCAUCUUGCAUAUUUUGAGAUGGUAUUAGUAGUCAGUCGAGCAUCGAUUUUUUCUGUGUUCACUGCAAGUUUUUUUCUUCAAAAUUCAUCUUUCUUUGUGCUAAAUGUUCUUUCUUACUGAACCAUCACUCCAAUUGUAGGUUGCGUGUUGCGCCUAAAUGUUGGAUAUAUGGUGAUCUGGUAAUGCCGAUUUGGGAAAGCAGGUGUACAAUGUGUGUAAAUUAAGAAAACAAUUUAUAAUCUGUGAUGUGAUCACUGCAUUUUAAUUUAGUAUAUGCGAUCCCCUCAAGUAGGGAAGUAUUGAAUGCACCUCUCUGGCAAGUGCACGCAUAAGGGUACCAUUUUUUACUCAAUCGAUUUCAAAGCAAGGCAUGAGACUGGCAUACACUCUUUAAUUGCAUCGUGUAAAGAUAUGUGGUGUGAGGGGAAGGAGAAAUGUGGGACCUCAUAUUUUAAAGUGAUGGCCGAGUUGACAAUGCAGCCAUUAUUUGGGCAAGUAUUCUUAAAACUAGAAUUGCAUGCAGUUUAGUGACUAUAUAGUUGGUGAAUCACUGUCAGUAUACUGGAUCUAGCAACUGGUGAGAUCAUGGUAAUAUAGAUGACUGAUGUUAGCAAAGUUUAAAUUGAUUACCCCUGGGACGAUGAUCUCCAUCUCCUUAUUGUGGACGUCGUGGUUCAGUAGUGGGGGGCCUGGGGGCAACUCUCUUCCACCAUGUAUGUUGAAUGCAUUCCAUCUGAAACAACGUUAAGUGCGUGCUUAGAGCAGGUAAGACAAUGGUGGCUGCUUGGCUGGUUGACGUGUCGCGACGCUGGCCGAUGCCAUGUAUUGCUGGAUUGACGAGCUUCAUUGAGCUUCAUUGAGCUCUAUGCGGUGGGUGCACCAAUCCUAUCUACUUCUGUCAAAGUUGGUAACUAAAGCAGUAAGUUAAGCUUGAAGGAAAGCUUCAGCCAACAACAAUCUGCCAUUCUCCUCCAUGGUGCACGGUGCCCCCCACAACAAAAAUCUGCCAUUCUCCUCCACGGUGCACGGUGCCCCCCACAACAAAUGUAGCACAUAAGUGGCGUCCAUAAAAAUCAGCGCCUAAUCCAACGACAUCGUUGCUCAAGAAACACCGUACCGAACACAGCUCACAACAACAAAUCUAAUACCAGAGGAAACAAUACAAACCAGAUCGCACGCAGGGCAAAGCAGCAGGCCGAGUAGACGCACGACGAGAUGGAUGACCAGAACAGCAACGGCGAUGCAGGCUGAGAAGACGCAUGGCGAGAUGGAUGACCAGAACAGCAACGACACAAUUCGUGUGGACGGCGAAGCUGCGCCCAAGGAGCAGCCGCGGAAGUAGCACCGACAGCCGGAACAACACGACGGCGGAGAUCCUCCAGCCACAACUUGAAACCGAGGCGUACCCAGCACCCCAAAUCGCCAAUCUCCGCUCUUCAGAGCUACGCCGAGUCGCUAACCCGUUGAGAAGACACGCUCAUAGGGAAACCCAUACAUACACCCGACACGCGGCUUGGACCAGCGGCCACCUGGAGAUUAAAGCUUGCUGAGAGGACACGCGCACACACAUCCGACACGCUGCAUGCAUCAAUGCGCAUCCUGGGUCCUUGCAGCCACAAGGCGACGAGCGCAUUACAGCUCUACCUGCCUACGCAUGGUCACGGGCGGACGUGCCUUUUUUAGACCAUGGUUGUUGUGAUUUUUUAGUGGGAUGGUAGUAUGGUUAAUAAUACAACAAUCGGCUAUAAGGCCACAUGUACAAUAGUAAAUUUUAAGUGUGUACUAUUCCCUUUGUUUCCAAAUAUAAGUCCACGAAGGAAAAUGGGUGAAUCUACACUCUAAACUGUGUUUAUAUACAUCCGUAUGUAGUUUAUCAUGAAAUCUCUAUAAAGACUUGCAUUUAGAAACAAAGGUAGUACGUUAUUAAUAGUUGGCCUAUCAUACAACCUCACAAAGUGUCUUGAGUCUCGUGCUGCAGCUGGCUAAUAAUCAACAACCCGUUUCUCUUCUCUCUCCUCCAACUGAGCAAAUAUAUAAUACUUUAGUCCUUAUAGCUUGCUUAUGUCACCUUAUUGUACUUGCUCUUAUGUCGGCGUGGGAAACGAGCCAUCGUGCCAGCCUGUUUAGCGAGGGGCCGAUCUUGGGCUAGGGAGGGCGCGACCCGAGUACUUAGCGUGCCUCACCGGGUCGUGUCGUGCCUGGCCCUUUUAACCCAGGCCGGGCCGGUCCAUUUGGGCAGGUUUGCACGCAUGGAAUCCCGCACACACCCGACAUGCGUAACAUUGUGGCCCACCACGCGUCCACCCUUGAACAGCAGGCGCCACCAAGCAAACGCAUCUAAGAGCGCUCCCAGCCAUCUAUUUCCAGUGAGUUUUUUUUAGGGUCUAUAUUCUUGAGGAUUGUUUUUUCACAGAAACAAGUGUAACGAUCCAGUCAAAAUUGUACCGCUCAAUUGAACGAGGGAGUUCCUACCCAUAUGAACUUUCUUUACCAAAAAAUUUAGAUCUAUUAUAAAAGUUCAUCAGAAGUGCAAAGCAUCUCAAACAUACUAAAAAUUACAGAGAUUCCGAGACCACCAAACGAUAACUACAAACUUCAUAAUCUUACUGCUUAUUUGAAGAUGCUCCCAGUCAAACAGGCGGAACUCGACGGUACCGAUGAUGUUGAUAUCAACCAUAUGACUCAGGCUCAUGCCAAUAGUUAUCGCUAUGGUAACUGUGUUAUUCCAAUUCUAUAUAAUUCACAUCAUUUCGCCCCAGCUUAAUACCCCUCUUGUCAUUUAUAGAACCGCCACCCUGCCGCAAGCACAAGCAGCCCCUAGAAUAUGUUCAUCGCCCACACAAGGCCGGGUAAGUCCCAAAGUUCAAAGAGAAAAAAAUCCAUUUGAAAGAUGGAAAGAACAUUACUCGCGGUAAAAACUCUUAUUACUUUCCUGUUAGCAGCAACUCCUCCGACAAAUACUAAAUACUACAGUUCUGUGUAAAUUGGCAGGCAAACUUGGUGGGCAAAUACAUUUAAGCUAUAUAACAAAAAUGUUCGCAAUCUUUGAAAUAUCAUCAAAGACAAGAAAACUCCUAACCAUUACAAUGUAGAUAUCAUCAAAGACAAGAAAACUCCUAACCAUUACAAUGUAUGCCACAUGACAGAAACAUUUGCUUCUGAUGGUAAAAGAAUGGUAAUCUUAAACAAAUGCAUUCUUGUGUUUCCUACAAGAACAUGCCAGCAAACCAUAUACUAAAUAACCUUUAUCUUCAUUUGCAGCACUUUAGCACACACUUUUCUAAGAGAAGCCUCUCCCCACACAUGGAUGUUGGACAUGAUGAGCUACCAAUCAGUACAGGAGACGGGACCACCAGUGUCAUGGCCCACUUUAUCAAGGGCGUCGACAACAGGGCUACACUCACAAAGAACUGGAGCAGCUUCUUCAUAAGGCAAACAUGAAGAAAGGGUGUGCAUAUGCUUUCGCCUUCAAGUGCACGUCUAAAGGCUUCUGCAUGAUUGUCUAUCCAAUCUAAGCAGAUCACAAUAGUCCUUUGCUACGUAACUUGAUAUUACUAAAAGUACCUAUCAAGAAUUUAAUAUCUGGCAUCAUUUUGGAUCUUAUGUAAAAAGAUUAUGGCAAUCCUGUCUGUAUGACUAUCAUCAAUCCGUACUUAAUUUUAUAUGUUUUCUUCUGUGUUUACAUAUUUUGAUGCACACUCUUUCUAUAAUUGGCUUGCUCUCGGCCUUUGCGCCAUGGGCGCAACGGGUCAUCUAGUCUUUCUUAAUAAUCAAUAUACUCAACAGGAACGACGGCGGCCUCAGCGGAAGGAAGUGGUGCUGCCUCCGCCCUCCUUUCCUCGCCCGUUACACAAAGAAGCUCCCUCUCUCCAUCUUGUGCAGCCUGUCCAUGACAUACAUGUUGCUUUGAUUAAAUCUGGCUCGAAAUUCUUGCUUUGAUUCUGAUCAAUUGUUAAUAACUUAAUAUAGCGGCAAUCUUCGCACACAAACAACGGAUGUCGAAGUACUCCGUGGGGAUUAAAGUAAAGAUGCUAUGCAAAUUUCCUAGAGCCAAGCUACUUUGCAACGGUGUGAAGGAACUCUCCUACUAAUGUGUAACUAAUUCUGUAGCUAGUGGAGUAAGCAACAGGGAAAUAGAAAAAAAAGCAUAGGAGGAUGCAGAUCUAGUAAUUGCUUUCAGGUCUGACUUGUAAAUGCCAACUCGUGUGUAGUUUGUUUUCUUCGACAGCAUACCACUUCUUCCUGUUACAGAAUUUUGUGAACCUCCUCUGCUCCAAACUUUCAUUGUCAGAGGUAAAACUGCUAUCAUCUGAGCUUUGUCUCCGAUUAAUAUCCAUGCUGUUAGAUGCUUCUACAGAUCUAUGGUGAUGUCUUUUUUUUAAUCUUCUUAUUCUUACUAUUCAACUGAUCACUUUCCGAGCUAGCAAAAUCAGAUCUUUUGUUAAACUUCCUUCGCACCUCUGCUUCAUCAGUUUCACACAUUGCCUGAAGCAUGUUCCUUUUAUUUCUGAUAUGUGGAUUCAAAUAUUGACUGUCAUAUGAUGAUUCUGCUUUCUUUCGACGUCCAUAUCCUACCAAGUUUACUCCUUUUUUUUUGGUAAAUUCAUUCAUCCUGACUGAAAUGCAUAUUAUUCCUCUUCCUUAUAGUGUGAACUCUUUGUUCAGACUCUGUAAUUUCAAUGCCAAUUGAUUUUUUAACUUAUGAUUUUUUUGCAAACAUACAUGUCGACUUGUACUAUACAGAGUUGUACUAAAGCAGCAACCAUUAAUUUGGAUCGAAGGGAAUAACAUAUUUUCAAAAUUUCUAUCGAAAACUCCCACGACUUGUCAAAAUUUUGUCCUUGUUUGCAAGAAAAUGAAAACUUUAGGGUGUUCACAGCAAAAUGUUAAGGUCUUGGCUGCAUGAUUGUGUUAUUUUUAGGGUUGAAACAGGAAAAUGGUAGGUUCUCUUUUACACUAUCUUAUAUUUUGAUAUCGAGAGAGAGCACUUCUCUUUGUAUGUUGCUUACAAUUGGAUUUGUAUGUUGCGACUCCUUUUUCAACAACUUUGUUGCUACAAGUGGGGAUCUACAUACGUAGAACGUUCCAUUGCCUCACUAGUUUCAAACGUGAUGUUGGUACUGCCCAAAAAGCACAAUACGAUCUCCUUCCAGUAUUGCAUUUCCUUCGGCUAUUUCGUUACUGAAUAUGGUCUUCACAAACGCCGCCCAUUGAGAAUAGAUACCAUCAGCAAGAUAGUCUCUCAUGUUGUAGUCACGGCCGUUGACAGUGUAGUUGCACGACGGCCAUUUCCCAUUACAAAGCCUCUUGAACAUGGGAGAUUGUUGAAGCAUGUUGAUGUCAAUGUGAGAACCCGACACUCCAAAAAAAGCAUGCCAAAUCCAUAAGUCAUGUGAUGUCACUCCUAGUAUGAUGGUGGCCUUUUUGGUGUGACCUUGAUACAUUCCCUGUAAACCUUUGAUGCAGUUCUUCCAUUGCCAAUGCAUGCAACAAUUGAUCAGAGCAUUCAUGGAAAUCCUCUGGCCUCUUCAAUAGCCAGCAAAUUUUCUGUGUCCUGCACAUUUGGUUCUCUCAUAUACUCUGCUCCAAACACCUGCACCAUAACACGAGCAAACUUGAUAGUAGUCUUCAGGCAUGUGCUCUCCCCACGCGGACCAUCUCACUGAAGAUAUCGAUGGAAGUACUAAGUGCAAGCAUUAUGGAAGGGCCCACUUGUUGAUGAUCCAAGGGUCCUCAGUCCGGCCCAUUAUGGAGGGACCGACGUGGUUAGCACCCCCUAGUCCAGGACACUGUUACUCCUAGAGAUUAGUACUUGAAUGCCUUGGAUUGUGAUGGAACCAAUAAAAUUAUGAAGACAAAGAGAUCGCCUAUUUCGUGGAAAUGUACAGAAAAUGAGUGGCAUGGACUUUUAUGUCCUAGGGUAAGGAGAGAUAGGUGGGUCUUGGUGUCCCGAGUCCUUGGCGAUCUUGAGUGAUAUAAGGUGACUUGUGCACUGGCUGUUUUAACCUCCUAACAGUGUGUAUACGUGGAAGGCAGUUGCAAUGAUUCCACCAGUGUGUAUAUGUGGAAGAAAUGUUGCAAUAAUUCUGCAGUCUAUGGUGAAUGUUUGGUUUCUUGUUGCAAUUGUAUUUUUUUAUUGCUUUAUACUCCCUGUGUGAGCAAAGGGCCUCCAUAUCUCAAUUAAGGAGGCGAGCCAACCCUCUGGCGACCCUCGCAUCACCUCCCCUGGCGGCGGCAAGGAAACCCCUACCAGCGCCGCUGCAGGACCCUUCCAUUCCGCCCAUCUCCUCACUGCUCCCAGGAAGGUGGCGGCGAGGCGUGUCGUCCCAUCCUCGCGCUCUUGCCCCCACCCGGUGGCAGCGAGUUCUCUAGUGGGGAACCCCACGUCCAUUGACGUAUACUUCAGGCCGCUCGGAUCCGCACCAGGGGCUGCCGUGUCACCUCCCUCGUAGCGCCUCAGCCAUGGUAUUGGGCACAUCAUCAACUUGUAAGUAGGGCGCCACUUUUCACCAGAAAAGUGGCUUUAGAUUGAUCUAUAUAUUUAUUUUGUAAGACCUUGUUGAAUAAUGCAAUAAAGAUGGUUGUGUAAGACGUUUUUGAAAAAACAAAAUACUCCCCCUAUAUAAAGAUAUAAGACUUUUUUUGACACUGUAUGGAACGUUGUCUUUUGCUCUAUCUUCGUAGAAACAGCUCCUGUUGAUUCCUUCUUCCUUCAUUCUCCUUCCAUUCCAUUUACACACAUGAUUUCUUCUCUUUUUAGUCCAUUUCUUAUGGAAACAUAUCAAAGAGAAGGAUUUGUGGAAUCCUUUGCAUUCAUUAGUCAUUAAUACCAAUAUCAGAGCGGAUAUUUCUUUUUAAAUGAAAUAUCUUGGUUUAAACAAACGUGAAAUUAGUGUAAAAAUAUCACUCAUCAGUAGGCCCAUCUCUUUUUUCUCUACCUUCUAAAACUGAUAAUUCUUUUUUGGCAAGAUGAAGCUGGCAAUAUUGAUGAAACGAAGCUGGCGAUUUCUCCUUGUCGCGAUCUCACAACAUUUGUUUCCUUUUUUGCGGGAAACAAUAUUUGUUUCCUAAUACAUUGGACCUAUGAUAUGCAUCAAGGGAAGUAAUAAAUGCCCAGAUAUAGCACGAAACAAAAAAAGAUUCACAUCGAUGAGUUAAUUGAUAAUUUAGAAAUCAUCUCUAUCGAGCUCCGAUUAACUAACCAAACAAGUAUUAUCACAGACAAAAUGAAGGAAAGACAUAAAAUCUUACAACAAACGCAUACAAGUCCCUAAGACUUGUAUUUUCGGACAAACAAGGUACAAUACAGAUCUCCAUGAGAAUAGGGACAGAGAAAGAAACCAUGGCACACCAUCCUUCAUUCAAAUAGCAUCUCGGCAUGCGGGCGCAACUUCUUGCACACCACCUGGAUGGUAUGCAUUGACACGCCGGUGACCUUUGCCACAUCACUGACGACGGGCCUAUUGUCAUCGCCAUGCUCUAGGACCAUGCACACGAUGCCCGCCGCUAUGGACUCGCCGGUGUUUCGCAUGCCAAGGUCGUCCUCCUCCAGCCGUCUCGCCGCCUCCUUAGCCGAUGCGACUUCCCGACCACUCAUACCAAGUUGCUUACCAAAGUGGCACAAAUAGUUCGAUGCACGCACCACACCGACGCCCGUCAGCCCGACGCCCUCCUCCCCGAGGUGCUUCCUGAUGCGCGCGGUUAGCUUUGCGAUUUCCCUUCUUGCCGCCGAGCCUUCAGCUGUUGCCGAAGCUAGCUCAUUGAUCGACCGCGGUGAGCCCUCACUACGGCAUGCAAUGGCGAGGCACGCUGCGUAUAGCAGAUCAUUAUUUCGGUGGUUGGUCUUGCUGAGAACCGGCGGCCAUGCCCUAUCCUUCUCCAUCUUCCUGAACACCUCCUUGGCACGGUCUUGGAUGGCCGGUGCAAUCCCAAGGCAACCCGCCAUGCGAGAGAUGGCGACAUUGGACCCCUCAGCUCCACCUAGGCCCUGCACAGGCCCAAGUCUGAGCGUGAGGUCGACAUGCACCAUCGGGAUGUGCGUCGUGCACCGCUUCUUUCCCAUGGUUGAGUGGGCGGAAUCUAAGUUGUAGUUGAUCGACACCGCUGUAGUCCGGGCAAUGCUACAUGUCUAAGUGGGCGACGCCUGGCCCCGCAAGCAUAUUGGUGUCCAUUGGUUGGCACUAAUUGGACCAAAUAUUGUGUGGGUGGAGGCGACUGCUGGCAUGCCAUUUAUAUAGGGGAGGUCGGCCCAACAUACCCUCGUGUUGGUCGUCCAUUCUCAAUUGUACGGCCUAGAUCAUAGCUAAUAGAUCUUUCCUUUUAUUUUUCUUUACAUGUUUAGUUCUUCUGGUUUGCUAAAUAUACAAAGUCUAGAAGUUUCUGAGCCGCUAGAUGUCUUUGCGCAGACAUUCCAGGCACGAUAGGGGGAUGCCUUGUCGCCUAUAUUAUUUCAACCUUGAUCAAACCCUUAUUCCAAUUCAUUAUUUUUACUUUUCUGUUACAAUCAAAUCUACCAUAUACUUAUUCUUUUAAUCCUUGUAACUACUCCCUCCGUUCUAUAUCUCUACUCCUAAUAUCUGAGUUGGUAGAAUAGUCUUCACGGUUGUUUUCGUCUGAUUUUUUUGUCUCACCUUCCAUCUUCAUAUCCUCAUGUUGAUUUUUUCAUCCUUCAAAUAAUAUUCUUAUCAUUCGCAAACUUUCUCAACCAGACACAUCACAAACAGGCAGGUAGAUAUCACAUUAUCAAACAAUAAAACCUUAUUUUCAUGAAAAUCAAUUCAAAAUCCUAACUUUUCUAAUGCAUCGAUCGUUUUUUUUUGCGAAUUAACGCAUCGAUUGUUACCUUUCCUAGAAUCGUACAUUGUCGUUUCGCUUCGUAUUGUUACCGAGCGAUCGAUCGAUCAAAUAUUUGGUUUCCUUUCUUUCGCCUUUAUUUUAUUAUUAUUGAUCGCCCCCGCGUAUCUUCAUCCCUCGUUAAAAAGGAAAAAGUGGAUGCGGACGAUCCCCCACCUUGCAUCUCAGGAACGAAAAUCUUCCCCGCGGCCCUCCGCCCGCCGCCCCACGCCUCGCAUGGCUGGACGCUGCCGUCUGCACCUACAUGUGUUUCUGCGCCCCCUGCCGCCGGUGGUGCCCUUCGCUCCCCCCUCCUCCCUUACCCUCCCACCUCCUCCCCUCGUUUCUUCAGCACGGCGUUGUGGCGCAGUACCGGGAAGACUUGGCUGCAGUUCGCGGCGCAACUACAUGGUGCUCAUCGGCGCGACGGCUUCGUCAUCAACAUCAUGCUUUGGCGGGUCAUGCUCGGCACCACCACGCUCGUCGGCCGAUCCAAGGCAAGGCAGUGGCGUCAGCAUGAGGCGUAGGCGCGUAGCAGACGUAUGAGGAUGCGUGGAAGGCCAACAUCCCAGACUUCAGGACUCUCUUUGUUCCAUCGAUGACACCACAGGUGCGUCAAUCUCAGUCCUCUCCCAUCGUUGUCAUUAAUUUUUGGUAGACUGUUCGGCUUUGUAUUUGUGCUUGUGUUAAUCUUGAUUUAUUCAGCGUACUGAGUUGUCUUGCGAGAUUGAUUAGGUUCAUAUUUCGAUUUUAAUGGAGAAUGAAUGAUUUUUUUGAUCAAGUGGAGAAUAAAACCAUGGCAAACAAUAUAUGCAAUCGGUUUGACAACAGGUUGAUUAAAACCAUGGUAGACAAUAUACUUUGAGAAUCGCUGGAGCAAUAUAUUUUCCCGUGUGGAUUGAAAAAAAAAAUCCUUAGUCAUAUAACAGUAAAAAGGACUAUCGAUAGAUAAUUAAUCCUCUUUUUUAUUAGUAUUUACUUUCUACACAUGACAUUCUAAAACAUGUUCAUGAUACCUGAAAUGCCUAUAAGUUAUGAAGAGAUCUGAAACCAGUAUAUUUCUGAAAUCGGUAUUUCAGCUGGCAGAUGUCUAUGGCUGGCGGCAAAAUGCACACGCAGCAAAGCUGGCUUGCCUCGGGAGCUAUCAGAGCAAAUCUAGUAGACUCCGCAUCCCACCCCGACCCGUAAAAUAACUGUCAAAAUGCAGGUCGAGGCGGAAAAACCUGCCCGAUUAGACCCCGCAUCCCGCCCCGGCCCGCAAACAAUUUUGAGGGGCGUGGCAAAAUCUCAGGCCCAACCCGCGUAUUCGUGGGUUUCCCCCUCGCCGCUGCGGUGCCCUGCAUAUAAGCGAGAAGUGGUUGGUGGGGGGACAUUUCAGCCCACACUUUCCCCCACCAACCGCCUCCCAUCCCCCCUCGCGCCGCCGCCAGGCCGUCGCCCAAGAUUCCGACGAAAGCAGCCGGCAGGAGCUCGCGGAAAGGCGGCCACACGCACGAGGCUCCCCUCUCUCCCCCCUGCGCCGGCGGACCGCCGGAUUUGCGGAUCUGCGGACCUUCAUUGCGGGCCGCCGGAUUUGGCUUUUCCGGCCGCUGGUGGCUGCGCCAAGCGAUGGAGUGGUCGGGAAGCAUCUCUCGUAGCCCUGACAAGGGCGCAUCACCGCAUGCAGGUACAGGUUCGUCCUCCCAAUGCCACCGACGAUUUGCGGGCAUGGAUUCGUCCGGCCGUCCACCGGGCUCGGCGCUCGCGCAACGGCUCUGUGGCUCGCCGAUGUCGCUCAUACAGUGCGACGACUGCACGCGGACAGUGUUGCGGCUAACUUCGGGCACGCCGAAGCACCCCGGAUGGGUGUUCUUCAAAUGCGAAAAUGACGGGGUACGUGCACUUGCGGUAGCUCAUUUUUGAUAGCUCAUUCUUUGGUUCAAUUGCGGUAACUCAUUUCGAACGCUCAUUCAUGUGUGUAGGAGGAUGGAUGCUCAUUUUGGUUUUGGGAAGGCGAAUACAUUGAUAGGAAGAAACUUAAUAGACGUUGACGCACUCCUUAGAAGAAUCGAAGGCAAUGAUGCGGCUACAUGUGCAACUAGAGGGGAAGCAAUGUCUACUUCUUUCGAACCAAAGAUGAAGAAAGAAGAAUGCAAAACCAAGAAUCCGCAGAUAAACAAUGAAUGCAUGGAGAAGAUAUUAAUCCAACUAGUGGGAGCAGUUAUGGAAGUUGGAAAUCUUCUAAAAUGCAUACUUGUGGUUCUUGUUUUCUUUGGUCCUGCUAUUCUAGCAAAGAUUUGGUGAUAUCUUAUGUAUCCAAUGUUAUUGAAAAAGCAGAGAAAUGCAUUAUGUUGGAUCAAAUUAAGAUGCAAAUUUAGGUUUUUCGGACCGGGAGUAUUGGGGAACGCAGUAUUUCAAAAAAAUUCCUAUGAUCACGCAAGAUCUAUCUAGGAGAUGCAUAGCAACGAGAGGGGGAGAGUAUGUCUACGUACCCUCGUAGACUGAAAGCGGAAGCGUUAUGAAAUGCGGUUGAUGUAGUCGAACGUCUUUGCGAUCCAACCUGCGAACAUACGGCACCUCCGCGAUCUGCACAUGUUCAGCUCGGUGACGUCCCUCGUAUUGUUGAUCCAGUUGAGGCCGAGGGAGAGUUUCGUUAGCACGACGGCGCGAUGACGGUGAUGAUGAAGUUACCAACGCAGGGCUUCGCCUAAGCAGUACAACGAUAUGAACGAGGUGGAAUUCUGUGGAGGGGGGCACCGCACACGGCUAAACAAUCAACUUCCGUGUCUAUGGGAUGCCCCCUCCCCCGUAUAUAAAGGAGUGGAGGAGGGGAGGGCCGGCCCUCAUAGGGCGCACCCAAAGGGGGGGGGGAGUCCUACUCCCAGUAGGAGUAGGUUUCCCCCCUUCCUAGUAGGAGUAGGAGAAGAAGGAAGAGGGAGAGAGAGGGAAGGANNNNNNNNNNNNNNNNNNNNNNNNNNNNNNNNNNNNNNNNNNNNNNNNNNNNNNNNNNNNNNNNNNNNNNNNNNNNNNNNNNNNNNNNNNNNNNNNNNNNNNNNNNNNNNNNNNNNNNNNNNNNNNNNNNNNNNNNNNNNNNNNNNNNNNNNNNNNNNNNNNNNNNNNNNNNNNNNNNNNNNNNNNNNNNNNNNNNNNNNNNNNNNNNNNNNNNNNNNNNNNNNNNNNNNNNNNNNNNNNNNNNNNNNNNNNNNNNNNNNNNNNNNNNNNNNNNNNNNNNNNNNNNNNNNCUCUCUCCCACUAAGGUCCAAUAAGGCCCAUUGACUCCCCGAGGGUUCCGGUAACCCCCCGGUACUCCGGUAAAUGCCCAAACUCAUCCGGAACCAUUCCGAUGUACAAACAUAGCCUUCCAAUAUAUCAAUCUUUAUGUCUCGGCAAUUUCGAGACUCCUCGUUAUGUCCGUGAUCACAUCCGGGACUCCGAACUACCUUCGCUACAUCAAAACACAUAAACUCAUAAUACCGAUCGUCAUCGAACGUUAAGCGUGCGGACCCUACGGGUUCGAGAACUAUGAAGACAUGACCGAGACUCAUCUCCGGUCAAUAACCAAUAGCGGAACCUGUAUGCUCAUAUUGGUUCCUACAUAUUCUACGAAGAUCUUUAUCGGUCAAACCGCAUAACAACAUACGUUGUUCCCUUUGUCAUCGGUAUCUUACUUGCCUGAGAUUCGAUCGUCGGUAUCUCAAUACCUAGUUCAAUCUCGUUACCGGAAAGUCUUUUUACUCGUUCCGUAAUGCAUCAUUCCGCAACUAACUCAUUAGUCACAUUGCUUGCAAGGCUUAUAGUGAUGUACAUUACCGAGAGGGCCCAGAGAUACCUCUUCGAUACACGAAGUGACAAAUCCUAAUCUUGAUCUAUGCCAACUCAACAAACACCAUAGGAGACACCUGUAGAGCAUCUUUAUAGUCACCCAAUUAUGUUGAGACGUUUGAUAGCACAUUAAGUGUUCCUCUGGUAUUCGGGAGUUGCAUAAUCUCAUAGUCAUAGGAACAUGUAUAAGUUAUGGAGAAAGCAAUAGCAAUAAACUAAACGAUCAAGUGCUAAGCUAACGGAUGGGUCAAGUCAAUCACAUCAUUCUCUAAUGAUAUGAUCCCGUUCAUCAAAUGACAACUCAUGUCUAUGGUUAGGAAACUUAACCAUCUUUAAUUAAUGAGCUAGUCAAGUAAAGGCAUACUAGUGACACUCUGUUUGUCUAUGUAUUUACACAUGUAUUAAGUUUUUGGUUAAUAAAAUUCUAGCAUGAAUAAUAAAUAUUUAUCAUGAUAUAAGGAAAUAUAAAUAACAACUUUAUUAUUGCCUCUUGGGCAUAUUUCCUUCAGGGAGGAGCUGCGCCAGACCAGACACCGCAAAGCCGAUUUCCGCGAAUAUCCUUUUUUACGGGUCCGAUUUGCGAGGUCUGCAACUGGGGCCGUCUGCGCCGGCCCGCAAAGACGUUUUUCCGCGAACUGCAAACACGUUUUGUGGGCCGGCGGGAUGCGGGGUCUGCUAGAGUUGCUCUCUAACCUGGGUAGCAUGGUAGAUUGAAAAAGUGGAUUGACUAGCAACAGACGCACACAUAAGAUAGUUGAUUGGAUAGCCACUGACACGUAAACAUGCAUUUUGUUUAUAUUUCUUCAACACACCGAUUACGAUGCUAUUUCUAUAUUUCCAGAAGUAACUAUUAAUCUUUUAUCAAUGUUCAUCUCCUGGCCUUAUCUUUAUUAACUAGUGGUCAGUUUUCUUAAUUAUUUGUUGGUUAGAAUUCUUCUGCAUUUGUUGUUGUCUUAUUGGCAUAAUCAUUCAGUCAUUUUUUCUAGACUGUGUUGAUUUCAUGAUUAUUUAUUGUGUGUGCGUUGCACAAACUAUGUAUCACCUCAAUAUGUUCAUGAUUAUCUUAUUUUAUAGCUUCUUUAGUUGAGUGAAUAUCUCCAAAGUUUCUAACUUACAGUAUCUGCUCACAUAGAGGAAGAGAGGAGCUUAGGGCCAGUUCUUUUGGGCAAUUCUCCGAGAAUUGACCCCCUCCCCAGCUUUAUUCACUGCCAAAGAGAGGAGUGAGAUGUUCGUGCUUUUGUUCAUUUGCAGGACCAUUGUUUCUUUCGUUUUUGUUUCUUAUAACCACAUCAGUGAAAUCCUCUUCAAUCUUAGCCUCCUUUGUUGCCAGGAACGUAGCCACGAUAUCCUGGCCGGUGAAGCUACCUGAAGAUCAUGCAAAAAAUUGUCAUGUUAGGGCAUUGUCGGCAUGGGAACACCGGACCAGCGUGUGUGACGACGGUGUCUGGCAGGUUUUGACCACAACCCACUUUACAGGUGGACAGGUAGGGUCAACCACAUGACUGGGUGAUGUGGUGCACGAGUAGGCUAGGAGGAACAAGAAUAGGAAGGACUAUAGUUGAGAGAAAAUGCCAUAUUGUCAUCUUGACCGAAGGUUGGGCACCUGACGAUGCUUAUCAAUCAGAACUCUGAAGGUAUAUUGUGUGAUUCUUGUCAACCAGAACUCUGUAGGGUUUAUGUCUUACACUCUUGACUUACAUACAUUACUGAAUUAAAGAGAUAGAAAUGUUCAGGAGAAGAUGCAGUGCUGCAAACAACUCAUCAUUCUCAUAGUAGCUAGCAAAUCAUUUUAUAUUAUAUGAGUUAUUCUUCUUCAUCUGUAAUAUUACUAUUUUCGGAUAGUCGUAGUAUUUAUUUCUGUUCAGUUUUAAUAGAAUAUACUUCAGGUUUGCAUGGUGAGAUGUCUUCAACAAAGGAGAUAUGUACUGGUUGUAGAUUUUUGGCUGGCUCUCGGGGCCAUUUUUUUAAAUGAAAAAAAAAAUAAUACAAAAUUUUUUGGUGUACUUAGUCACAUCCAAAUGCUACCUGCAAAUUUUGAGGCACAAAGAUAAAAUAUUUUGGCUUGUACAAAAAAAAACAAAU
rnacentral:lncRNA from 1 species